rnacentral:lncRNA from 1 species
UCGUCCCGGCCGCCGUUCCUCGGCACCAUGCCCACCAACCUCAACGACGUGCUGGUCCAGAACAAGCGCUGGAUGUCUGGCCUCCUCGCCGUCGGCCUCUCUAGGCGCUACUGCCCGCUCGCCUGCCGGGGGCUCCUCGCCGUCUCCGUGCCGCAGGCCAUGACCUACGCCCACUUCGGCUUCCUUUCUCUCUACGCGUUCCCGGCGCUGUGCUACGCCACCCUGCCGCAGCUCUGCUUCCUCCGCGGCGUCCCUCUGUUCCCGGACGCCGCCGCCGCCCCGUGGUUCGCCGCCGCCUUCGCAUCCUCCUUGGUGCAGCACCUGGUCGAGGUGUCGGUGGCGAGGCGCGGGCUGGCAGUGCGGACGUGGUGGAACGAGCAGAGGUUCUGGAUGCUCAACGCCGUCACCGCCCAGCUGUUCGGCUGCGUCAGCGCCGUCCAGGACCUCGUCGGCGCCGCCGCGCUGCGCUUCGACCUCACCAGCAAGGCCGACGACGAUGAUGGCGGCAGGCUGUACCAGAAGGGCGUGUUCGACUUCACGGGGUGCUCCACGCUGCUGCUCCCGGCCACCACCCUCUGCGCCCUCAACGCCGCGGCGCUGGUCGGGGGCACCUGGAAAAUGAUGACCGGAGGCGGCGGCGGCUUGUCCGGCGAGAUGUUGCCGCAGCUGUUUCUCCUGAGCUACGUGGCGGCGCUGAGCUACCCGCUGCUGGAGGGGAUGUUCCUCCGGAUGGACUCCGCAAGGGUUCCAGGGCGCAUCACCGCACUCUCAGUCGCCUUGGCCGCGGUGCUGCUCUCCCUGUUUGGAUAGGGACGGCACCCCCUCGUCUGCCAUUAUAUUCGUCAAGACGAUGGAGUGCAAAAAGCUAGAAGUACGUGGACAUGGCGAACCGUACAAGCUAUGGCCUCGUUCACGUAGCUGUGUAAUGCAAACUCGAGUGUUGUUGAGUCUGCUGGCACUCUGAGUGCCAUCAGGCACGGAAACACUAGAUUUGAGUCCUUCUCUCUUUUUUGCGUUUUUCUUCUCUGCAGCAGCAUGCCCGCAAGAAACACGACAACACGUCACAAGUCUAUCCUGCAUUACCCGGCCAUCAAACUCUGACCUCUUCGCUCGUUCCUUCGUAGAUCCUCCAUCAUCCAUCUUAAUUGGGAUCAUACUCUGGCUCGUGGCUCCGAGCUUGCGCCAUUGGUAGGCCACUGCGUUCACGCCGUCUGCCACCUUGUGGCCUUGCCAAAGCGUCUUUGGUUGUCAACUGACACGGCAAGCAGAGCAGCGACCAGCGAGCAUGAGCACGUACGUAUCUCCGUAGACCAGUGCUAGCGUGCCCAGCUUACCUUGUGGCCAUUGUGCUUUCCUUCAUCUUGUCAUGUAGGACCUAGGACGCAGCAUCGAAGUUCCCCAUGCAGCUGUGUAGCAAACACUAGUAAAGGCAAAGUAACCUAACAAUUAGUUGAUUAUAUCCAGUUUCUUCGUUUCAAAAAAAGAAUAUAUCCAGUUUCGGUUUAAGUGUAAACCAUUGCACAAUAGACUAAAUGAAGCAAUUUAUUGGGGCCACACAUGAAUUUUAGGGCAGCACAACGGAGUGCUAGAAUCGACUAAUAAUUAUGUUAUUUGUGUAUAUUUUGAGAAAAUAGUAUGCUAUGAUAGUCAAUUUUGAAGACAACUUAGAUUUUACGGUAGUAUAUUAUAUUUUACUAUCAUAUUUUUCGCAUAUAUAUUGUUGUGUCAUGAGCCUUACAGCUUGGCCCUAGUCUUGGUGAAAACCUAGGUCCGCCACUGCCCCCAACCAUGCCACCUCCAACCAUCGGACCACGCUGCCGACCUCGCCGCCACCAGCCCUCAACUCUCUACCUCCCCGACCACCGCCACCGGCCCUAGCUGCCCUCCUAUGCUCCAACGUGCGCUGUCCCACUCUUGCCGCCAUGCGGACUGCGACCCCUCCCCCCCCCCUCCCCCCCCCCCCCCGCUAUACGCCAUCCCACCCCUGCUAUACGCCAUCCCACCCCGCUGUGCGGCGACGCGCCCCCUGGCUACCUCGCUACCACCUCGAUGCAGCACCCGCCUUGCCUGGCCAUCAUGGAUCGCGCUCCCUUGAGCGGCCUUGCACUCAUCCCGCCACCACGCCAUCUCCGGCCAUCAAACCUUGCCUCCAAGCUCAUCGCCGCCUGCCUUCACCCUUCCACCUCGUUGGCGCUAAAAGUCAGCCGAUUGACCCUCAGCGUCGGACACACGACCCGGGAGAAUCUGCUUAGCUCCUGUUCAGGUGAUCGCCCUGGUGCGGUUCGCGCGGCGUGCCAGCCAAUCUGACUUGUUCAUUGGCAAGGAAGAAAACGUGUCAAAUUCCAAGGGUUCCAAUCGGCUAAGGUUCCGAUCUCGAAAAGCGUAUCAGCGAAUCGGCCGAUUUGCUAUCUAAAGAUAAUCGGCUAUGAUACAGCCGACAAUCACAUAGCGAUUGCGAAGAAAACUACUAGAGUAAACUAGACAAAGCUACAAAAGCAACACUUGAAAUAGAUCUAAUCGGCUAUGCGAUAAUGAUGAAUAAAAAGUAACAAAAAUAGAGCCGAUAGUUCAAAUCUCAAGCUGGAUAACUGGUGAUAAAACUAGAACAAUCGAUAAAACCUAUAAUUCUAGUAAAUAUCGAUAACUGGUGAAUAAAUCUAAAUGAAACAACAGCGAUGCGCCCGAAGUUAAAGCUUAGAUAUCACUUGAUAAAUGGAACUUAAAGAAUCAGCCGGAGAUCGUGUCGAUGCAGCACUGCCAACCCGUACGAACUCGUGAAAGAAGAAAAGUAUUGGCAAAGUCGCCGACUUGAAAGUAAAGUACGAUGAAAAAGUAGAUUUGUUUGAUUGAUUGAUGUGUUCUUUACAAAUCUCUGAGGAUGGCUAUUUAUAGCCUGUUACAACCAAUUUCCUAACCGACUAGGAUCUAUCUCUAAUCUUAAACAAAAACGAAUAUUUACAAACACAACUCGUAUCAGACUUGGUUAUUAUACUCCCGCGGGCCAAUCUUUCUCUAUCUUCUUUCUCUGAUCCACUUUAAGCCUAUAUUGGCCCAAUCGCUCCAACUUUCUAGUCGGCCGAUCUCCACCAACUCCGUCCGCCAAAACACUGUAGCGCCAAUCGGCCGAUCCCCACCUGUAGCACCAAUCGGCCGAUUCCCAGUCGUGGCCUUUUAAUCUGCCGCAUCAGCCAAUUCUUUCUUCCCUUGACGCCGAUUCCAUAUGUGUCAAAAUCUGGUGUCAACACAUGCCCCCUAGUUUUGGAGUAAAAUAUAACUUUUACUUCGAAAUUCUUUUUUAACCUCUCCUCCGAAACAAACGCAUCAAAAAUCUCCUUCGGUUUCGCGGUCUCCUACCUAAUGAUUGCAAUCUUUUCGAAAUGGGUGCCUGAGACAACCACUUCCCCGAAAUUCGUGUAGACGGCGCGGUAAAAUCCCACCUUUACCCCUUCUCUCGGACCGUCUUUAAAUACUAGCACGCCCUGCACUUCUUGUUCACAAGCUAGUAACUUCGUUUCCGGCGCAUUAGUUUCCAUCUUCUUCCGACGCUCUUUUGGCUUCCAACCGCAUCCUCCGGCGAUCCCCUUUUCAUCCGCAUUCCGCUCCAUCUUCCCAAUGGCGGCACCAUCAACAACUCCACCAGCAACGGAGGCUCCGCCGACAACUCCAUCAAUGGCGGCAGCAACUCCAUCGACGACGGAGGCUCCACCGGCAGCUUCAUCAGUGGCGACAGCUCCACCAGCAGCCCCGUCGGCAACGAUGACCUUCAUUCCAGAGGUACUCAUCUGGAACUUUUCUUUUUACUUUUACCGUCCAUGCAUCUUUUUAGAUCCGUUCUUAGUUCUUCCCUUUUUUCUUUUUUAGGCAGUCAGACACCAAAUAACCAUCCGUCUUUCGGAAGCUCCUGGUCUGAUCUAUUUAGGCCCUAUGGGGAACCCAGACCCAACCGACCGGAUCAACUUGGAAAGAGUGGUACCAAAGAAUAGCCAACUCCAAGAGAGUUCAAUGGGAUGAGCAAAAAAUCGGCCAGUGCAUCAAUCUUUCUGUGUCCCAGAUGGAAAGAAAUGAACCCUUGGUCAUAGCAGCCUCCUACUUCUGGUCCGACUCUCUCAACGUGUUCCUUUUCGGACAUGGGCCCAUGACCCCCACUCUGGCUGAUGUUGUGAUGUUGACCGGCCUUGACAUUUCUUCCCCCGAUACCCCCUUCCAUUAUCUGGUCAAGCCGACCCAUCGGCUGGAAACAAAAGGAAUCGGCGGGUGGAAGGGGUACAUAAAGAACAAUAUGAAGACCGGGACAGUUUCAGAGAGAGAAUACGCGGCCUUCUUGAUGAUGUGGCUAGAGAAAUAUCUUUUCUGCGGCAGAGCAGUCGGCCCUUCUUCCAAUACACAAGCUCUGGCCGAAGCAUUAUCAAGAGGAGCCUUCAUUCCUCUCGGGAAGCAUCUACUAGGAUCGGCCUAUCAUAUGUUGCACCAAAUCGGCGUCAAACUAUCCAAGGGGGAGUCGAUUGGAAAUCCAGGUGGCCCCUGGUGGUUCAUCAAUCUCUGGCUCAAUUUGCAUAUGAGCAAGAUCUCACAGCAGCGGGUAGAGCACAUGACAUUCCCCAAUAUUGAGUCAGAAGAAAACCCCACUGUACGGCGCCGAUGCACCUCCUUCAGCGAAGCAGUGUCAAUCUUCUCCGGUUGCCAGCUCACCGCUACUAAAGUAGCCGAAUACUUCCAAUGUUUUUACAACGGCUUUAGUGAAGAAACCACCAGCUGGUACCCGUACCAGAGAUCAGAGCUGCUUUUUGAGCUCCCCUUUUGUUAUGACUCGACAUCCAACACCUUUGACAAUGAUCUCAUGGACGUCUUGAUCAAGCCAGGGAUCUUACCUACGAACUUUUUCUCAAGGAAGGAUGCCCCUACUUAUGAGUUUUACAAUCCAUCAGUUGCGGCACGGCUAUUCGGCUUAGGUCAACUGCCGAUUCAAGUCUACUUCGCUGGCCGCGUGAAAUUCCGGACGAGCUCACGAAGGGUCUUGACUACAGUCGGCUGUGCGACAAGGUACCCGAUUCCAGCACCAUUGAUUUGAAUAACUGGAUAGUAGCUCCUUUUGCUGUCCAACCAUUCAAAUCAUGGUGGGCAGAAUGGAAGCAGCAUCUAUUUUGUGCGUCUCCCGUGACAUAUUGCAAUGAUCUGGAUCCUGAGAACAUCGACCCAACUGUAGCGGUACUGCUUUUCCCUCAGCCGAUUUCGAUGUCAUUUUCGUUCUUAUGCUACAAAUUUUGUUGCUAACUCUUACUUUCUUUUGCAGUCUGAGAGUCGACCUCCUCCAAAGCGCAGCCAGAGUGGUAGGUCGAUAGAGAAUCGCUACCCAUAUACGGAAUUCCCACUCAUCGGCCAUCAUGCCCCAACCAUUGAUGACAUCACCAUUGGCCGAUUGAAACAGACGCCGAAGAAAACUUUAAAGAAGACGAGCCGCCGAGUGCGUGCCCGCACGGAAUCGGCCGAUCAGUCGGCAGCGGCAUCGGCUGAAUCUUUGGUUGCGCCGAUUCUUCCAGUCAUCGAAGAAGUUGACCCCCAAGCUGCUACAGAAGCUGACACGGCCGUUGCAUCAUUGCUAUUAGAAGCUGUCCAGGUAACCUUGCACUCAUGCCUUUCUAAGUAUUCUUCCGAUAUUAACUUCUUUCUAUCAGGCUGCACAAAUCACCCCAGGGCAACCUCCGCAGCAAUCGGCCACACCCCAAGCAGAAAUUGGAGCGCCAGUAAUUCCUCCCACCGAGGUAAAGAAUCCCUUAACUCAAUUUUUUGAUACUUAAUCAAAAGCUUGACCAUUUCUGAUGCAGGCUACCCUUGGUACGUCAAUUGUACCUUUCCAACAGCCAUCGGCCAGGGAACCCACGGAGGUAUGGCAAUCACCACAUGUCAUCAGACCUAAUCAUUUGUAUUAUACUCAUAAGAAUUUCCCCUCGUACCUUUCCAGGAGGUCGGUCCGAGUAGGGGACCAAUAAUCGUCGAAUCCUCCUCCUCUGAUAAGCUGGUCGCACCAGUUCCUGAACCGAGGGCAGCACUCCCACCGGCGCAAGCAGAAGAAAUGCGCUUCAAAGAGGUAAGAGACUCAUCACCCAAAUCGGCCGAUUUCCUAUUGCCGUCGGCUAAUAUGUAUUUAUUAUUUUUUACUCUUUCACAGGAAAAGGAUACUCCCAACAACAGCCUUUUCUCUUUCGCAGUCGCCCUUUCUGAUGACGAGGAGGUUGCUUCACGUCAAGUCACUCUGAGCUCAAUCCCCGAUGACGUCCGUGCCAAGCUCGAGAGCAUACGGACCCUCCUCCAAGAUGAUAUUGGCUGAUUGGUGGAGGACGCCUCGCCGAUUCGGCAGCUCUUUAGCGAUAUUAGAGGCCGAGUCCCAGAAGAGGCGGAGGAAGCUCUGACGCCAGCCGCAUACAUUGAAUCAAUGCGGAUCCCAGUGUUUAGAGCUUUGCGCCACAUGGCCGAUCGCGCCAAGCUGGCUAAAGCUCGCGAGGAAGAAGAUUCCUAUGAACAUCGAGCCCAAGAGGUACAUCAUCAAAUCAACUUUCUCGAAAGCUCCCGCCCGGAUAUUGUUGGUGCUAUAGAUCGCCUUAAACGCCGAAGGGCAGAGCUCGCCAAGAAGAUGGAGCAGGUGACCAAGGAAAUAGCCAUUGAAGAGAAAAGACUCCAAGACCUCCCUUCUGUCAUCGCCGAGCUGAAGCAGGAGAGACAAAGUCUGGCCCACGAAGCAAUCAAGCUCCAUCGCUACACGCCAGAAGUCCCAGGAUCGGCCAACGACGACCAGCGAACUUUAGACUCGGCCGAUCAGGUUAGGCAGCGAACGAUUACGGCUAUUAAUGCCCUCCUUGGAUGAACUGUAAGAGUACUGGCCGCUAUGUAAAAACAUUAAUGUCUUUUGACCGUUUGACAUGUGAAUCCAAUCUUGACCCGUCCUUCGUGGCGGCCUUUCAUUUAUUACCCCUUUUACUCCGAUGGGACGCGUCCUACCAAACUCUCGCCCUUAUCCUUCUAUAAGUAUGAAGCCCCGUAUUGUUUCCAAAGGCAUUCGCAUUGCUUGUCUUCUUUUCCUCUAGUAGUUCAUACCAUCGGACUAUUCACUGAGAUGUCUUCUUCGUCUUCCUCCUUCUCUUCCUUUUCUGUCAACCAGGUACGAAAUCUUCUUCCGUUCUCCAUUCCCCCAUCUAACAUCUUGAUCGAUCUAACGUCGAGCGGUUAUUUGUUGAUUCUCAACCGAGACACCUUAGUCCUGAACUGGAACGGGCGAUCAAAAUCAUGCACUCCGAUGAACCGCUGCCACAGGCGGACAAAGAUCUGAUCAGAGCUCAUCGCGAAGAACUCAUGGAUCACGUUCCUGCUGAAGUUCAGAAGAUCUGGGAUGACAUCGACGCCAACUGCUCCAGGCGGCCGACAGUCGAAAGGAGUCAUCCACUUCCUCGCCCAGUCGCCCUCGAAGACGCUGCAGCGGGAACAUCUCAAUCGCCACUUGACCGGAGCCACCCCUUCCUCGUCAAGUUGAGGCCAAAGCCGCGAUGGACUUGGAGGAAAAGAGCAUCCGCCUCUUGAUAGAAUUAGGUCAGGUAGAGAGGGAGAUUAAGAAAAAGCAUGGUCAAUAGAUGCGUUGGUACUUUUUGUUCUAAGGGCGACUUGUACCAUGUCGGCCAUGUACCCCGUCGUUUGUAUCGAAUAAUAAAUCGGCCAGAUCAGACGAAUGUUUCGUUCUUAAGGCGAUGUUAUCUUUGCAUCGGCUGAUCUAAUAGGAGUUGGCCGCGCCAUCUCGAUACACUCCACCAUUAGUUAUGCAUCGACCCAUAUACUAGGAUAGUACCUCUUCAGAUAUCUUCCGUUCAAGGCCCUUGUGAACUCCUCUCCUUCGAUCAUUUCCAGUAUAUAUGCAUUUCCUGGGGCGCAUCGGCCGAUUUUAUACAGCCCUUCCCAAGUGGGCGACCAUUUACCGAACUUAGGAUCCUUGGACCGUAUUGCCUUCGAAGUCCUUAAGCAUCAUGUCCAUCUUGGUUAGAUCUUCGUUGCUUUUACCCAGUUUUCGGAACAUGGCGUAUGGCAUGAUGUUGACUGCAGCGCCUCCAUCUACUAGUAGCCUGGUGACAGGUCGACCGUUGACGUGUCCUUUGAGGAACAGUGCCUUGAGGUGUUGCCGUUUUUCAUCUUCGGGUUUCUCAAAAGUGGCUGUCAUUGGCUCCAAAGCCAAUUGUGCCAUUUGUUCCUCCAUCUUCGUUGUGUCGUACCGAUCGGUGGGAGCCAUGAACUCCAUCAACAAGAUGAACACCAUGCUGACGUCAGCUGCCGAUUCCUGGUUGCCAUCUUCCUCAUUGUUGUUUCUUUUGGGGCGCUAGACUCGAGACCUGUCAUCCUUCUUAUCCAUCAUCUGCCUCUGCUCUUCUUCCUGUUGUUCCCAUUGGCGCAGGCGUUGGAUCCUUCAUUUUUGGGAUUUGGUCAAUCCAUCAGGGCACCACCUGGGGUUCAUCGGUUUGGCCGGCGGUCUAGUGCGCUCCCAGUCUGGUUCUCGUCCUAGGGGGUUUUCAUCUGACACCCUGGCAUCGGCCAUCUCCUCUAGCCGAUCGUGUGCGCUGACUCUACCCCCCGGUCGGUCAUGCUAGUCGGAUCUACCCCCGGCCGAUCAUACUGUUCACGUCUGCCCCUUGGCCGAUCAUACCGGUCAACUCUGCCCCCCAACCGAUCACGCACUGAAAGGCGCCGAUCCUCUUGCUCGCGCCAGUUUCUGCUGAUUGGCUCUGAUCCUCUGCCCCUGGAGCGGGACCUCUAGAAUGGAUGAUUAUCAUGAUAUGGACCGCUGCACUCUGGGCAAUUAUCAACUAAUGGCAACCUGAGGUUAUUUUCCCAGCAAUGGAUGAAGAAUGGGCAUCGCCAAUGAUCCUCAUGUCGCCGCAUUAUUUCUUCGCGAUAUCUCGAACUUUCCUGCUGCCGCUGAUAUUUGUUGAGCAAGAACUGGGAAGUAAUAGGUCUGUGCGACCUUUCCGAUCCUUCACCCUCAUCGUCAACCCGUCUCUUCCCCUUGACAUCUUCCGCAGUAGCCUGAUUUCUGAGGUCCACAGCCCCGCUUUUCUUGGCCAAUUCCGACGUUAGCACUUUGGUUUGCAGCGCGUUCCUUCCCGUAUCAACCAUGUUAGUAGGGAAAGGAUGCUGAUCAAUCUUCAUUAGCUUCGCUGGCUUUGUCGGGACCUCGAACUUGAGCCUGCCUUGUUCGAUGGCCGAUUGUAUCUACUGACGGAAGAUCUUGCAUUCGUUUGUGUCGUGGGACGUGGCAUUGUGCCAUUUGCAAUACUUCAUCUUUUUUAGCUGCUCGGCCGAUGGGAUUGUAUGAUAAGGUGAGAGUUUGAUCUGCCCCUCUUGGAGAAGUAGGUCGAAGAUUUUGUCGGCCUUUGAUGUGUCAAAAUUGAACGCCUCCGGUUCCUUUUUCCCGAAAGGACACGAUAUCGGCUUCUUACCCUUAACUCAUUCUGCUAGACUGAUUUCUGCUUCUUCGUCAGAUUCAGAUCCCUCCAGGUACACCACCUUUUUCUAAAAAUUUCUCCACUGAUCAAAAGGGUGUGCUUCCUGACCGGCCAAUCGGUGAACGAUCUGACUCAGGCUCUCGAACUCCUGGGAAGCGUACUUCUCUUUGAUGUGUGGCAGGAGACCUUGGAAGGCGAUAUCGGCCAGCUGCGCGUCGGUCAGGACUAGGGUGUAGCAUUUGUUUCUGAUUUCUCUGAACCACUGCACAUAAUUGUUCACUGGCGUAUCGCUCCUCAGCCUGAGGCUAGUCAAAUUUGAGAGCUUCAUCUCGUGGAUUCCCACGUAGAAGUAUUUGUGAAACUAUUUUUCCAGGUCGGCCCAGGUGAUGAUGGAAUUGGGCGGCAGCGUAGUGAACCACUAGAAAGCCGACCCGGACAGGGACGAUGAGAAUAGAUGCACCCGCAGAGCAUCCUGUGUAGCCGCCUUCCCGCAUUGGAUGAUGAAUCUGUUUACGUGUUCCACAGUUGAGGUGUCAUCCAGCCCCGAAAACUUAGUGAAGUCGGGAACUUUGUACCGAUGAGGAAACGGCAGUAGAUCAUAGGCGGGCGGGUAUGGCGUUUUGUACGUGUAAGUUUGUACCUUUGGCUUCAACCCGAAUUGAUCUUGAAUCACCUCCGCUAUCCUUGUCGUCCAGUCUACUUGCUGCUGAUGAAUUACUGGCUAGGGAAUCGGCACAUGUUGGUGGAUCGGCGGCGGGAUGACCGGGUGAUGAAUCAAAGCGUGCGGCGGAUUCUGCGGCAACGUGGUCGGCUGAGCGGUUGGCAUUUGAUGGCGCAGCGAACAGGUCAUCUCAUUGUACAGUAUCAUCGGCGCCGCACCUCGGAGUGCCUCAGUAGCGUAUGCCCUCCUGCCGAUUUCUGACGUGGCCGGUUGAUACUGUGGACCCGUCGGCCGGGUGGCCGAUAGGAAUGGUGCCUGGAUCGGAGAGCCUCCAUAGCCGGCCGAUUGAUCCAGAACGGCCGCUGUCGACGGUGCCCCCCAAGGCACUAAGUUUGAUGGCAAUGAUUGCACGGAGGGAACUUGAGCAGGCUGCAGCGGUGCUUGUGAUUGAAAGUAUGGCGCACCGUUGUAUCCUGGAUGCAUUGAAGGCAGUGAAGUGUUGUGUCCUCCAUGCUGUGUCGGCAUCGACUGAGGAGCCGAUUGCGACGUGCCCGGUAAGCUCUUGAUUGGUGGGGCAUACGCCGGCCCCUGAUAUCCUUGAGACACGCCGUUGGCCAGGGAGUUGAUGAUAGCAUUGUACACCGUGUUGGCCAUCACUGGGGAUUGAUCGAUGAAGGCCUGAUAGACAGACUGUUGGAUCAUGUCGGACAUCUUGGCUGAAUCCUCCGCGAUGGUGAUCUGGCGGGGAGUUGGGAAAGGAGCUUUCUUGACGGUCUCCCCGCUUCUGGUACGACUGAAAGAUUGCAAGCAUGUUUUCCGGUAUUGUUCUAUUUGCUUUGCCAACUCUUUUUUCUGGUCGUCCUUGAGAUUUGCUUUCGUCACUUCGAUGACGUUGUCUUUGGAGAUUUAAGCAGCUUUCGACAUAUUGAAGGUUGAAGUGAUCCCACUGGGCGUGCCAAAAGUGUGUUGGCGCUAAAAGUUAGCCGAUUGACCCUCCGCGUCGAACACACGACCCGGGAUAAUCUGCUUAGCUCCUGUUCGGGUGAUCGCACUGCUGCGGUUCGCGCGGCGUGCCAGCCAAUCUGACCUGUUGAUUGGCAAGGAAGAAAACGUGUCAAAUUCCAAGGGUUCCGAUCGGCUAAGAUUCCAAUCUCGAAAAGCGUAUCAGCGAAUCGGCCGAUUUGCUAUAUAAAGAUAAUCGGCUAUGAUACGGCCGACAAUCACGUAGCGAUUGCGAAGAAAACUACUAGAGUAAACUAGACAAAGCUACGAAAGCAACACUUGAAAUAGAUCUAAUCGGCUAUGCGAUAAUGAUGAAUAAAAAGUAACAAAAAUAGAGCCAAUAGUUCAAAUCUCAAGCUGGAUAACUGGUGAUAAAACUAGAACAAUCGAUAAAACCUAUAAUUCUAGUAAAUAUCGAUAACUGGUGAAUAAAUCUAAACGAAACAACAGCGAUGCGCCCGAAGUUAAAGCUUAGAUAUUACUCGAUAAACGGAACUUACAGAAUCGGCCGGAGAUCGUGUCGAUGCAGCCCUACCAACCCGUACGAACUCGUGAAAGAAAAAAAGUAUUGGCGAAGUCGCCGACUUGAAAGUAAAGUACGAUGAAAAAGUAGAUUUGUUUGAUUGAUUGAUGUGUUCUUUACAAAUCUCUGAGGAUGGCUAUUUAUAUCCUGUUACAACCAAUUUCCUAACCGACUAGGAUCUAUCUCUAAUCUUACACAAAAAUGAAUAUUUACAAACACAACUCGUAUCGGAGUUGGUUAUUAUACUCCCGCGGGCCAAUCUUUCUCUAUCUUCUUUCUCUGAUCCACUUUAAGCCCACAUUGGCUCAAUCGCUCCAACCUUUCAGUCGGCCGAUCUCCAACAACUCUGUCCGCCAAAACACUGUAGCGCCAAUCGGCCGAUCCCCAAUUGUAGCACCAAUCGGCCGAUUCCCAGUCGUGGCCUUUUAAUCUGCCGCAUCGGCCAAUUCUUUCUUCCCUUGACGCCAAUUCCAUAUGUGUCAAAAUCUGGCAUCAACACACCUACUGCGACCCCACGCUGUGCGGCCAGCCACCAGCCGCACCACCCACCAUGAGUUGCCAGCUACGCUGCACUACCCGCCGUGGCCCCACACAGUGCCGCCCACACGCAAUCUCAAGCUGCGCCACCUUGAAUCCUAGCCGUGCGCGUCAAAGCAAGAUUCAGAGAGGGGGAGUAUGCAGGAGAGAGGGGGAUUGAGGAAGAACAUAGAGGGUACUGGGCAUUUUGUGGAUUAGUCCCUGAAAAUAAUCACCAUUCAUGAAGUAGUUUAAUUUUAGGUAUGCUGUUUGAAAUUUUUUUCGUGAAAAUCUUCAUUCUCCUGUUUGAAGUGUGUUGAGUUAAAAAUAGCAACCGUGCAUUUUACUAUCCAAACAAUUCAUUUUGUCAGUUUGACCCGUAUACAAAUCGAUUUGCUCUCGUGCCUUCACACUAGUCCACCUCACUCCCUAAUAAAAUUUGUUUUAUUUAUUUCUCCUGGCACGAGUAGUGUUCUAGGUUCAAAUUUCAUGACAUGUUACACGACAUUGUUGAAACCCAUAUGUUCGAAAAAAUAUUUUGAUGCUUUUUUAUUAUUUUUUCAUGCAUUUACAAUUUCAAGGUAUAAAGUAGUAUCAAAUGCGUGCUCCCAACCGAUGUAAAUAACCAUGAAAACUUCUGAAAUAUGCUUAUAACAUAUAUAUUAGAACCCAAAAGACAACUUGCAGGAUGAGAGACAAAAAAGAAGAAGAAGAAGGAAUCCCAUUAGAGGUGAAUUGGAUCAAUUUAAUUGUUUUGGGACUACAUUGAGUCAAUACUUUAUGGAUGAGUCAAAUGGAUAAAGUGAUUAGGGAUGUAAAAUUUGAAAACAGUCAAUGGUUUGGACUUAAUUAUUUGUCGUCUAAUGUGGCAUUUUAAUGGAGUAUGCUGAAAGAACCUGGUGUCACCAGUGAUUCUUGAAGUAAACGGACGAUGUGUUGCCGCGCUGUCGGUAAUGAAGUUUGUUGCUAUUGAUGAAAUCAGGAGCUGAGACUUGAGACCGAAUUCGAGUAUAUAUUUAACUGACCAAUGUGAACCAAGCAUUGUUGUUGUUUUUGUCUCACAUUCUUAUUGUUCCAUAGCCGGGAUGAUUCAUUAAAGGGCCAACAUCUUGCAGAAGAAAGACUAGUGCCAUACUGAAAUCGGUGCCAUGCCAAGCGAAAAAGAUCAAGCAGAUCCAAGCCGUAUAGCUCAUCGUGGCUUUCUCUUAAUGAAUGUCCAUAGGUAUACAACCUCGAAUAAGAUGAUACUCCCUCCUAUCAGAAGCAUAAGUCCAACCUUUUAAUUUUAACUACAUAUAUCUAAAAUUUAUAUAAAUCAACAAUACAAGGUUAGUAUUACUUAGAUUGGAUAGAAAUAUAUUUUCAUGAUGUAUAAAUUUUCGAUUUAAAAUAAUAUGUUUUAAUAGAUAUUGUUAGUUAAAGUACCAUAUUGGAGACCGAGUCGAUGUUCUAAUGGACUUAUUUUUUAUUUUUUUUAAACACGGUAACGUACGCAAACUCAACCCUACGAAUACACACGACUCACAUAAAUGCACUUAUGUUUCUGAUAAGAAGAAAAUACGUACUAUGUUGAUAAAUUUUAAUGGCAAAAUGCCACAAACACUUAAUCCCUUCAUUCCGCAUUAAGAAGGUAUAAGAGUUUAUUACAAUUAUUUAUGUUGAUUACUAGUAUUAUGCUACUAUUAUUUAUAUUUGAUACGCCCUUAUAGAUACAUAGUUAAUUUUAUUGAAAGAGACAAGCACAGUUCUAGUUGAACCUAUGACCCUUUUUUCUAGAAACAAACCAAAUCAAAUGUCGUAAAUAGAUGACCAAUCUGGCAUAGUUAGACACAAGAUGAACAAUAUGUCAGAUAGAUUGCAAACUAAGUAUUGCAACAGCCAAUGGAACACCCAAUUUAGCGACAGUCACACUUCAGAAGAUAGAUGCACAAGAUGAACUAUAUAAACAGUCGAUAGGACCAGCUUCAGCCUUCAGGUCAUAAACUACCAAAUACAAUUGUGCCCACCACAUAUAUAAUACUCCCUCCAUCCCAAAUUAUAGGUCGUUUUGAUUUUUUUAGAUUCAUAAAUUUUAUUAUGCACUUAGAUAUAGCCAAUAUCUAGAUGCAUAAUAAUAUCUAUGAAUCAAGAAAAGCCAAAACGACUUAUAAUUUGGGAUUUGAGGGGGGGGGGGGGGGGGAGAUAAGAACUCCAUAUGAAGCCCUUGGCACCACGAUGGCCACCAUUUCUUAGGAACUAAGGAUAGCAUACUAAUACUUCUCUUAUCAGGGUAGUACAACUUAUAAAGACCCUUGGCUGAACGUUAAAUGGUUGCAUUGGGAUGAUGAAGCCAACCCCAUCAGAGAAGAAACAAAAGCAGCAGCAAUAACACCAGACACUGGGUGAUCGGGCAGACGAACAUGAUCAUCCCACUGCUUCCAACGCAGGGACCUCUUGCUGCAAAACCUGCAGGGGAAGCAGGGGAUUUUGCCAUUCUCAUAUUGGAAGAAGCGGUAUAAUACAUGAUGAACCCUAUGAUUGCAAUCUGCUCAUAAUGCGCUUACUGUUCCAUCUUCCUAGGGGCCUAAUGUCUGUGGAUUAAUGGCUCAGAGGGGACAACUAGUAGUGUAAUUGGAAGGUCAUAGAUGAGAUAAAGUAUCUGCUCAUCAUCUCGUUUAUCUUGGAAUAGAUCUAACCAACAAAACCUGAAACUUUACCUUUAUGGUUUAUAACUUUAUAUAUAUACACUACAAAGAAUGAGUAGAAUGGAAAAUGUUUCUCACUCAGAUUAGGCCCGCAGUACCUCUCAUGUAGGUUUCUCACGUUGAUUAGGCCCAGGAAGCGGAGCUGUGGAGGGAAUGCAGAUCCAAAAAAAUCGUGAGUUAGAAAAUGUUUAUAUUGAAAACUGAUUUUUUUUCUCUCACCUGCGUUUCCCUUACCCGCCUGCUGUAUCCAUUCAUACCCACGUGUCCGUGCCUCGUCUCCGGCUAGGCCUCCCAUGCCAUUGAUCCACAGUCACGGGAGGAGGCAAACCCCGUGGCAGUAGCGACAACACUCACACAAUCACUACUACAUAUAUAGAAGGAAAAUGUUUAUGUUUUCAUGCCCGGAUCUCCAUGACAUUGUAGGUGUCUUCUUUAACUCUCCAUCCCACCGACACAAGCAUUAACUAGAAGACAGUGUUAGUGCCUUGAAUAAGACGAAUGGUACUAAAAGUCAACAAUGACAAAUAUUUUGAUACGUAGGUAGUACUUUUUUAUAUAUGCUAAAUCUCUCCAAUGCUAAGUAAUACAUUACCUCUGUUUUUUGAACAGCUAUACAUUGCCUGCGUGACUAUUUUUAUGUGGUACGGAGGUGUUUAAUAUAUACUUUAUAAAUAGUCACUGCCAUCAGAUGUUAGUUCUAUCUGCUUGUGUGUCUUUGAUCACUAGCUCAUACCUACUACUAGCGGGUACCUUUAUAAUUUUGAUUGAAUAGUGUUUUCGUGAUUCAUCAAGGAGCACGAUCAUGAGCAUCACAUGUAAUAGCUUCCUUUAAAACACUUGAGUCAACCUCCAGCUGCACAUGGGAGAUGCCAUACAAUUCUGCUGUCUCCAAUGCCUUGAGGCAGCUAACUGCUUCCGCCAUUAACGCGUCAUGAAGCUGACAGCAUUGCCUGCACCUGCCAGCACGUGUUCACCUGUGUAAUCUCUGAUAAUGAAGCCCUAGGCGCCAUUCUUAGUUGCCUGCACAAAAGCUCCAUCAGUAUUGAUUUUCAGGACACCUUGGGGAGGUCUGAGCCAUCUCGGUUGUAGCCUAGCAGCCGGUCUGAUUUUCAUUCUUGGCAAUUCCAGCAGCCCCGCCAUCUCUAAGAUUGAGUGACAGAUAUUAUGUAUAUUUUGAAUUGGAUCUCCAGCAUUUACCUUGUUUCUUACAUCCCACCACUUCCACAGCAAGAGGCUAACCUUACAGGCCAAGCUUUGUUCAAGUUGCAGCACAUUCCAAACAAAAUCCUUCGCUGAUUUGGCCGACAGCAAAACAAGACGUGUUUGUUCCAUUUCCAAGAGACGCCAACAUCUCUUUAUUAGCUUGCAUUUUAGAAAACAGUGACCCCCGUCCUAAUCAAAACGCAGGCACACCGGACAUCUCGUGUCAAGAAUAACCCCUCUCCGUUUGAUGUUUUGCUUCAGUGGUAAGCUGUUGUGAGCCAGGCGCCAAAUGAAAAGGCGUACCUUUGGAGGACAUGGCAGCUUCCACAAUUCUUCCACUUCUGUGCUUCGUGAUCUCCCUCCCGACUGCACAAGCUACUUUCUCCUUGUUGGUUCUGCCGCUGGCGCUUCUCUUCAUGUACUAACACAUGGUAUGCUGACUUGACCGAAAACAUCCCCUUCCUGUCAUGGUGCCAGGCAAUAACAUCAUCCCUGCCGAGGCGCACCGAAAUCGAUAGAAUAUUUGGAACGUCUUCUUCCCAAAAACAUUUCACGCACAAGUUGGGCAUGUUCCAGUAAUCGGAUCGAUGAGUUCUUCAACCUUUGAGAGUAGCAUCGAACCCCGUGGUGUUCUUGGUCAGCGGGAUAUACCUGUUGGGAUCCAGGGGUCAUCCCAAAUUCUCACUUGGGACCCAUCACCAAUCCGCCAGAUCAAACCAUUCUUCAAAACUUUAAAUCCCCGAACAAUGCUGCGCCAAGUAUAAGAAAUUCCUGACCCCUCGGACACCCGCAAAAGGUCACCAUUUGGGCAAUACCGGGCUGUGAGUAAUCUCGCACAUAAAGACUCCGGGUUUUGCAAAAUGCGCCAAGCUUGUCUCGCUAGCAUAGCAAGAUUGAAAAGAUGCAGGUCCCUGUAGCCCAUACCACCCUCAUCUUUCUGAGUUGUCAAAGUCUCCCAAGACACCCAAUGCAUUAUUUUCCUUCUCCAUUUGAGCCCACCAAAAACGGCAAAUCAUGGUACUAAUCUCAUCCGCCAAUGACUUUGUGAUAUCAAAACAGGCCACCGCAUAGCUUGGAAUUGCUUGGGCCACCGCUUUUAUAAGAGUUUCUUUUUUGGACUUCGACAAAAGCUUCUCCUUCCAGCCAUGUAUGCGCUUCUAGAUUCUGUCUUUUAGAUAUGCAAAUGUUUGUGUCCUUGAACGACCCAUAUAGACAGGCAAGCCAAGGUACCUGUCCGUUCUCACCCUCUGUGCAAGACCGAGUGUGGAUAGGAAUUGAUCACCUGAUAUUUAACUUGUGUUCUUACUGAAAAGUAUAGAAGGCUUGUCUUUGUUUAUUAUCUGACCCGAGCAUGCCUCAUACACUUGGAGCACAUAUUGCAGAUAAUUUGCAUUCUCAUGGUUUGCUUUUAAGAGAAGCAAAGCAUCAUCUGCAAAGAGCAAGUGAGUCAUGCUGGGCGCAUUAGCACAUAUACUGAUCCCCUGCAGCCUCCCGCCUUCCUCCGCUGCAUUCAACAUUGAUGAGAAACCCUCAGAACAUAAAAGGAACAAAUACGGGGACAACGGGUCACCCUGCCGCAACCCCCUCGUUGGCUGAAUUUUUUCUGUGAGUACACCAUUCACCUUAACUCUAUAAGUCACCGUAGAAAUACAGCACAAGAUCAAAUUGACCCAUCACCGGCUGAAACCCAUCUUCAACAUAUUUUUCUCCAAAUAGUUCCAUUCCACUCUAUCAUACGCUUUGCUCAUGUCUAGCUCCAGUGCACCAAAGCCCUCACCCCCGAUCUCUUAUUCUGCAAGUAAUGAGUCAUCUCAUAAGCUAUCAGGACAUUAUCCGAAAUGAGCUUGCCCGGGACAAAAGCACUCUGGUUUUGAGAGAUGAUCUCAGGAAGAAUUAACUUGAGCCGAUUGGACAAAACUUUGGAGAUGAUCUUGUAUAUGACAUUACACAAACUUAUUGGCCGUAGGUCUUUUAGCCGCUCAGGAUUUUGCACCUUAGGAAUCAACACCAGCACCGUCUCAUUCCAUUUUGCCGGCAUGCUGCCAUCAUUUAGGAAAGUGAGAACUUCCCUCACCACAUCCACCCCCACAAUGCUCCAAUGCUUCUUGUAGAAAAGAGACGACAUGCCAUCUGCCCCCGGAGCUUUAAGGUCCCCGAUGGCAUCAAGACCUUGGCGCACCUCCUCCUCUGUGAAAUCACGUAGCAGCUGAUCGUUCAUCUCAUUUGAAACCGCCUGCUUGACAUGCUGGAGGAGUUCAUCCAUACGGUCACCUGCAUUUAUGGUAAAUAAAUUUCUAUAGUAAUUAGUAAUUAGUGUUUGCAGCUCCCCAUCUUCCUCCACCACACUCCCGUCAUCCUGCACCAAUUUCUGCAGUUAUUUUGGUUGUGUGCUCAACUGAACACGAAUUUUAUUGCUAUAACUGCUUCUGUAGGUGGAAUUGCAUUGCUCUUAGCAGAUGCGGUUACAAUUUUAUAAAAUUCCUUUCAUACUCUAGAAGGAUACAUGCUCUGCUUCUGAUGUACUACUACUUAAAAACUAUAUCAUUUGCAUUCCUUCUAAAGGAAUUACAUAUCAUGCGUUUGAUAGAAUCCCCUUAGUAUAUGUAUUCCUUCUAAAUGGUAUGUCCUGUCAUCUAAUCCUACAUCCAAAUACAUAGUUAUGGCUAAAAGUUUAUUCCUUCUAAACAGUAUGUCAUGUCAUUUAAUCCUACACCCAAAUUUGUGCCUAGAAUGAACACUAGUUAUGUAUGGCUAAAAGUUUCCAUUUGUGGUUGCCAGAGAUAUUACCUCUUCCUACAGUUUUCUUAUUUGAUUUCCCCAGUAAAUCUCAUUGCUGCAUCAAUGGCACUUUUGCAAUUUGGUGUAGAGUUCUAAGCAUUCAAAUUUGCUUGGCCUGUUUCUCCCAAAUGAAAAAACAGUUGUUCUGAUAUAAAAAGUGGUCUAGGGAAGUUUCUGGAGCAGCUGCUAUGCAGUUUAUAUAGUUAUAUAACAAACUACUAUUUUACAGUUGUGGCCCUUAUUCAUGUGAUAGCUCAUUGGCAUAGCUGCUUACUAUUGUGUUCAUACUGAUUGUGCAUGAGUCAGCUUAUGUACUAAUUAUUUUCCCAUUUUUAUGGAAAAAAUUUCUCUUCCCUGAAAAUGGGUGCAUCAGGAAAGUAAGCAUACCUAUUUUUCUCAUAGAGUAGCUUCAUAUAUUUCUGUUGGAGUACAACAAAAUUGUUGCUGACUGCAUUUAAGUACAAUAUAUGUUCCACUCUUUUCUAUUUUUUGAAUCCUAGAUACAUUUAUCCUCUGAACCAUGUAUGAGAAAAAAAAACUUAAAUUUCAUUUUCCCCUAUAUAUGUGACUAAAUUACUGCUUUGGUGGAUCCACAUUAACCUUCUGUUACCUAAAAUUUUGGUAAAAAAAAAAAAGCCCUGCUCCUAUAUGAUUCUUUGCUUCUUUGUUUUGGGCUCACUUGCAUCACAUAGCCCUCAAUCUUUGACAAUGGGCCUUUCCCUUAAUACCAGAGCAUUUGAAUCAUCUAUAGAUUAUUGCUGCGAGGGCUUUUUAAAGUGCUCAAGAAAAUGCAUCAAGAAAAUGCAUCAGUGCAAGAUAAAUAUAUGUACGCUUAAGAUGUUCAGAAUUGUAGCAUCGUAUAGUUACAUUAUGCAAAUCUCUGUAGUUGUGCUAAUUGUUUUAUGCCACAUAGAUUAGUAAAUCACCUACUGUUUACUUUUGAACCAUACAUCCCUUUUCGGUAGAAGCAAACAGGAUCUUUUUAUACUUAUCUAUUUUGAGAUGUCAGUCCAAGUUAUUUGUUAAGAAAAAGAGAAGAGUUUUCUUAGCAAAAACAUUAUUUGCUCUUUUUUUUGGAAUAACAAUGUUAGACUCUACUAGGCAAAUGUUAUGGCAACUUCAAAUUCACUCAGAAAGAUGCAACAUAAAGGCACUCCUUAUCAGUUAUCGCAGUUGAUGAUCCAAUUGGAAUAGCCUAUAGUUUCAUUGUUGCAAUCUGUGUCAAGUAUUUCUUACUAGCAAUACUCCUUUUAUUGUUUAUGUAAGCAUACAAAGCUGCUAAGAGAGGUAACUGCCACAUGAAGGAGCAACCUUUUUUGUCAACUUCAAUGGAAUAUUUUGCUAAUCUACGCCUUCAUUCGAAAAUGUGGAUAUGGCACAUUCUAACCAACUUCUGUUUCUUUCUGUUUGUACAUAUAAGUUGUUUAAUCGACACUAGAUCUUUGGAAAACAGACUUCUGAUGUGCUUUAGUGCACAAAAUGUAGACCAUAUGUUUUUGAUGUACCUCCUCUUGUUCACAUCUUAAAAUACCAGACACUACAUGCCACGGUGAAGCAUGCAGUAGUCAUGAAGGAAGCAAAGCUUUGGACAUGAUUAUGCAUUACACCAAUCUAAAAUGGUUUGCAAAAAUCAAUUCAUUAUGUCAUAAUAGUGGGAACGGUAAAAGCAUGAGUCCUACGGGUGAGCCAAAGGCGCGCCAGGGUUCUAGUACAGGACUUUAGAACGAGAAAUAGAGGACGACUCAGGAGAUGGAUAUGGAUUCCGGAGGAAUAUUUCUUUACUUUUUUGGCUUAGGAUCAUGCAGGUGGCUUGACAUAUAAGUUAACUUUCUACUCCCUCCGUAUCAACAUAUUUGUCGCUAUUGACCUUUUCCUAUAAUGUUUGACCAUUCGUCUUAUUCAAAAAUUUAAUUGCAGAUGCACGAAAAGAUAAGUCAUGCUCAAAAUAUCUAUGAUGGUAAAGUAAGUUACAAACAAAAUAAAUGAUAUAUGCUUACAUAAUUUUUUGAAUAACAUGAAUGGUCAAACAUCGUGACUAAAAGUCAAUAGCGACAAAUAUUUUGAUACGUAGGUAGUACUUUUUUUUAUAUACGCAAAAUCUCUCCAAUGCUAAGUAAUACAUUACCUCUGUGUUUUGAACAGCUAUACAUUGCCUGCGUGACUCUUUUUAUGUGGUACGGAGGUGUUUAAUAUAUACUUUAUAAAUAGUCACUGCCAUCAGAUGUUAGUUCUAUCUGCUUGUGUGUCUUUGAUCACUAGCUCAUACCUUUAUAAUUUUGAUUGCAUAAUGUUUUCGUGAUUCAUCAUGGUUAUUCUUUGGUUCCCACUUGUACCUGCAGAAUUAUUCUUUCAAGAGAUAUGUUUGAAUUUAGCUAAGUUGGUGAGUGUUGGCGCAGACGCAUAUACAGAUUUUUUAUCAGAUUUGCUCCUUGUCAACCGGUUGAAAUGUUGAUUAUCAAUCGACGCUAUCAACAGAAGGACGCGGGCCUAGAACAUCAAUACAGAGACGUUGGAUUUGAUUGAUAGAAAAGCAAAAUAUCAAUAAGUUCACAAGGAGACAGAUUCUUUUUUAUACCAUUAUCUGUUCUGGGAUUAUCGCUAAAACCCUCGAUUAUUUAGUAGGGCACGUGAUGAACUAUAUAACUAUAUAGCAGAUAGGAUACCCAGCUUCAUGUUACAAACUGCCACAUACAAGUGAGCCAGCCAUAUAGAUACAUCAUAUACAUAUAAUAGAUAAUAAGAACUCCAUACAAGUCCAUUGCACCUGCAUGAUGGCAACCAUUUGUCAGGAUCAGGGAUUGGGAUUUCAUUUUUUGAAUUUUUUCGGUCCCUUCGAAAACACCGAAUUUCGACAAAUUUUGACCGAAAUUUGGAUAAAAAAGUGUAUGUUUCGGUGAAGGGAGUGAAAUUUCCGGCAUAUAGUAAUUUCGGUCACUACCAAAAAGAUCAAAAUUUCAUGAAAUUCACGAAAUUUCGGCCAAAAUUUUAAACACUGGUCAGGAUAGAGAAACUACUUCUUGUCAGGAUAGUAGCACCUAUAAAGGCCCCUGGCUGAACGGUAAAUGGUUGGGAGGGUGAAAGCCACCAGCGAAGGAACGAAAGCAGCGGCAACAACUGCAGACACCGGGUGGUCGGGCGGAGGCACGUAAUCAUGCCCCCGCCGCCAAUGCAGGGACCUCUUGCUGGAAAACCUGCAGGGGAAGCAGAGGGUUUCGUCACUUCCAUUAUUGGAAAAAGCAGAAUAGUGCAUGGUGAACUGUUUGAUUGCAAUCUGCUCGUAAGGGGGUGUUUGGGAGGAGGGGGCUAAACUUUAGCCCAGUCACGUUGGAUGUUCGGAUACUAAUUAGAAGGACUAAACAUAAGAUAAUUACAAAACUAAUUGCAGAACCCCUAGGCUAAAUCGUGAGACGAAUCUAUUAAGCCUAAUUAAUCCAUCAUUAGUGAAUGGUUACUGUAGCACCACAUUAUCAAAUCAUGGACUAAUUAGGCUUAAUAGAUUCAUCUCGCGAUUUAGCCUAGGGGUUGUGUAAUUAGUUUUGUAAUUAGUCUAGGUUUAAUACUCCUAAUUAGUGUCAAACAUUCGAUGUGACGGGGGCUAAAAUUUAACCCCCUCCUCCCAAACACCCCCUAAAUCGUAAUGCGCUUACUGUUCCAUCUUCCCAGCAGGGGCCUUGAUCGAUGAUCGUCCCACCUCCUUGAGAUGAAAGCACAUGAUUUCGCCACUAGCCCUGCAACACACAUGAUCGCGAAUGAGACUAUAUAAUGAGCAGCAUAGAGCCAUAGACGACAACCAGCUGAGAUUUACUAACUCGGAUAAAAAAUACCCUUACCGUGUGCACUAGACGGCCUACACCCAUAGCCUGGGUGGCCGCAGAUCAGAUGGUCUCGGCGGUGGAAGCAUACACUCGUGCGGCACGCGGCGGCCGACCUCCGGAAACAGCCCGGAAGACAAGCCGGAGCGCCCGCCGUGGAGCACCUUCGCCAACAUCGCUGCCGCCACCGCCAUCACCUUCUCCUCGCGUGUCCUGUUCCUCCCUCUCUCUCUCUCGAUCUUUUCUCUCUCAACAGAUCGAUAUAUGUAUCCGGGAGGGACGAGGGAGGGAGGGCUUAUCGACUACGAUCGCCCCGCGCAAAGAAGGUGAAGGACCGAAAGGGCGAUAAGGGAGGGUGAAUAAGAGUCUAUAACAAUUAUCAACGAGAACAAGGCCUAUGUCCCAAAUGCAACCUCAAAGCACACUGCGCGUUGUAUGGUCAAGAUGAUGUAAGUGAACUCGUGAUAAGCUCACCCUAGGAACGAUAAGAGAACGCUCAAAUCACAGUGGAAACAUAGCAUGAAUCGACUCCAUCAAAUUUGCACAUAUGAGACAAAGCAAAGAUACUAUUAACCACUUACUAAACUAGGCAUGGAAGGACUAGCAAUAAACUAGGCAUGAUUAGUAAGACAAAAUACUAAACAAGGUGUCAAAGAUUAAUUAGCAAAGUGCAAGAACUUAAUCAGUAACAUAUUAACAUGAUUAGUAAGUGACAGUUCUAAUUAAGAAGCUAAACAAAAGAACAGAGACUAAGGCCCUGUUUGGCACGGCUCCACUCCAUAACUCCAGCGACUCCAGCAAAAAAUCCAGCCAAACACGUCAACUCCAAAACUCCAUGGAGCUGCCAACUCCAUGGAGCUGUAGUGCAAAUGGGGCUGGAGUUUUUGAGCACCCUUUUUGCUGCUCCAAAAUGUCCUCUUUUGAACCUCCUUGUGGAGUUGGUGGGUAAUUACCCACCACUGCCACUGAUUACACAAAAAUAACGUUUCAUCUGUUUGCCUCUUUCUUUCUAUUCUCCCGUGCGCCUCUGUUUCUUUCUGUUCUCCCAUGAGUUCACCCGCCCGCGCUUGGACCUGCGCCGGCGGCUAGGGUUGCGCCGGCGGCUAGCGUUGCCGCCGCUGUAGCCCCUACCGGCGGCCGGAGACAGCGCCCCACCGCCGCCAGGCGCCCUUGGCCCGACGCCGGUCCGCCCGCCCGCCUAGCCCCACCGCCAGGCGCCCCUAGGCCCGUCGGCGGCCGGAGUGCCCCACCGCCGGCCUUCGCGCCCUCCUGCCGAGCCCCGCCGUCGGCCUUCGCGCCCCCCUGCCGAGCCCCGCCGCCGGCCUUCGCGCCCCUCCGCCGAGGCCCGCCGCCGGCCUUCGUGCCGCUCCGCCGAGGCCCGCCGCCGGCCUUCACGCCCCUCCGUCGAAGGCCCGCCGCCGGCCGCUGCGCCCAAGGCCGCCCGUGUCGCCCCGCCGCCGAAGGCCGCCGCCGGCCACAGCGCCCGACCGCCGGUUUGCCCCGCCGCCGAAGAUCCCCCGUCACCGAAGAUCCCUCGCCGAAGGUAUGGUUCCUGAACUAUUUUUUUAAGUAAAAUCAGAGGAUUAGGUGUGAUUGUACAUGUACAUGUAAAAGUUGGUUUGCUGCCGUUGGGGAAAGCAUAUCUGGUGGCACAAGUCAUCUCGGUCUACUUGUGAGGCCAAUUAUGUUCGUGAAAUUCAUUUUCUGCUCAAAGCAGUUAAUGUUGCUUUUUGUAAGUGACCUGUUUUGAGGUGAACCAAUGCCUAAAUCUAGUGAUUCUGAUUUGUCGAGUAAGGUUUCACUUUGUGUUAACUAAAGCUGAUAACGUAAUCAGACUAGAUUGCAUACCUAAGUACAAAGUAAUACAUAAUGUUUGGGAAAUGUUUCUCUUUACUUUUGAUAUGCGCAAUCUCGAGUGCUGUGUGUGUAUGAAAUUGAUAUACUCCAUUGCUGUGUGUGUAUGAAAUUGAUAUACUCGAGGCCUUCUAAUAUGAAAUUUGUGAGUUCGAUAGAUGCCUGAAAUUGAUUGGAAUUCGGAGAACACUCGAGUGUUGUGUGUGUUGUUUGCCGAACAAGUUGAAAAAGGAAAUCGGCCAAACACACACUUGAAUGCACUUGGUUAUGCUGAGGUUGAGAAAGGGUUCACGGAAAGGACUGGAAUUGUGGCUACCAAGGGUCAGAUCAAGAACAAAUGGGACAAGUUGAAGGAAGAUUUCAAGGCAUGGAAGAAACUAAUGCUAAGGCAAACAGGGACUGGUUGGGAUCCUAUAAAGAAGACUAUUGCUAUGGAUGAUGAAUGGUGGAAAAAAGCUAGAGCUGUAAGUUGGUUAAAAAAAUUUCCUAUAUUUUUUUCCACAUGUCAAACCUGUUGGUAAUACUUAUAAUAAUAUUAUGUGCUUAUUUCAGAACAUUCCGGGUUGUGGCAAGUUCAAAAAGAAGGGCCUUGAGAAUGAAGAUGAAUUAGCCAAGUGUUUUGCUGACAUUACUACUAUUGGUAUUGAUCAUUGGUCUCCUCAUGUUGUUAAUGUUGAAGCAACAGAAAAUGUUGAUGUGACACAAGAUGAGGCAACCAAUUUUGAGCUAGAAGGUGAUGAUUUCAUUCCUAAAACACAAGAGGAGGAUAUUGGUAUUUCUCCCUCACCUGCGAGUGGCAAGAGACUAGCAAGGCCUGUUGACAGGAGUAGUAAAAAAGCGAAGUCUGGAAAUGCACUCCUAAUUCAAGAAGCUGUAACAAGUAUGACAAGUUCAGCCAAUGAAUAUGUUUCGAAGAGACAUGGAAAAUAUUCUAUUGAGGAAGUAAUGGAGGUUGUGAUUGCUUGUGGGGCCGGUUAUGAUAGCAAUGAACAUUACAUGGCAUCUGAACUGUUUGUGAAGAAGGAGCAAAGGGAGAUGUUCAUGACCUUGCCUACUAAUGAAAUUAGGUUCAAUUGGCUUAGAAGGAAGUACAAUGAUAAAUAUGAAAAGUAGAAAUUGGCUUAGUGAGAGUGAUGUCAUUUGUGUGUGCUACUAUUUUAUUUUUGUCGCAUGUGUGGUACAUUUAAUUUUAUUGCAUUUUAUUUAGGUAUGACAGUUGUAUCUUACAUUUCAUUUAUGUCAAUGUUCACAGAUGUCUUCAAGUGAGUCUGAUGAAUCUAGUGAUUCUGAUGGUGAAUAUUUUUUUAAAAUGGUUAAGAGCUGUGGUAAGCUAGCACAAAGUUAUCAUGACUCAUAUAUGGAUAAGGCACCGCCGAGAUUUAUGUUUUCACAACAAAGUGGAAUAGGUUGGCUGAUGGAGAUGGUAAACACUCCAAGGGAGUGCCAUCGAAUGCUUCGGAUGAAUGAGGUUAUUUUUCAGGAUCUUCAUGAUGUGUUGGUUGAGAGGUACGGAUUAAAACCAUCGAAGCACGUGAAUACUCAUGAAAUGUUGGCCAUUUUCCUAUUCACAUGUGGUGGGUGUGAGUCAAAUAGAAGAGGACAAAAUAAGUUCAAACACUCAGGUGAAACCAUUAGUAGAAAAUUUCAUGAAGUUCUAAAUUGUCUGGUUGCCAUGGCACAAGAUUUCUUGAGACCAACAGAUCCUAAUUUUCGCAAUGUGCACGAGAGGAUUAGGAAUGACAAGAGAGCAUACCCACACUUUAAGGAUUGUAUUGGUGCACUUGAUGGAACCCAUAUUCAUGUGUAUUUAUCACCUGAAGAACAAGUGAGAUAUAUUGGUAAGACUGGAAUUGCAACUCAAAAUGUGCUUGCCGUUUGUGAUUUUGAUAUGCGCUUCACCUAUGUAGCUGCGGGUCAACCAGAUUCUUUGCAACACUAGUGUAUUGUACCAUGCAUUGGAAGUAGAUGUAAAUGUCUUCCCACAUCCUCCUCAAGGUAAAGAUUUUUUCUUAUGUUCCUUUUCAUAUUUGUAUGUACAAACUUAUCUUAUUUUACAUAUGUGUAGGCAAGUACUAUGUUGUAGAUGCGGGCUAUCCUAAUCGUUCGGGGUAUCUGGCUCCAUACAAGGGUGAAAGGUACCACUUACCCGAGUGGCAUCGAGGUAUGGAACCAAAUACUCCAAAAGAGAAGUUCAACCGUAUACACUCAUCUGUUCGCAAUGUUAUUGAGCGGUCAUUUGGAGUAUUAAAAAUGAAAUGGCAAAUCCUUUACAAGAUGCCCGGUUAUUCCAUGGUCACACAAAAGAAGAUUGUUGCUACUACUAUGGUUCUACACAAUUUCAUACGUGACCAUGCUAGCAUUGAUGUGGACUUUGCUAAUUUUGAUAGAGAUCCUACCUACAUGCCUACUAUUCCGGAAAGAUACAACAAGUAUGCCGUGUCUCAACAUGCCUCCGAUGGAUCAACUUCGAAAUCAAGCUUUGUGACUAUGGAUACCUUUCGUGAUAGUAUGAUCCUACCUACAUGCCUACUAUUUCGGAAAGAUACAAAAAGUAUGCCGUGUCUCAACAUGCCUCCGAUGGAUCAACUUCGGAAUCAAGCUUUGUGACUAUGGAUACCUUUCAUGAUAGUAUGACUACAUCAAUUGCCCUAACAUGGAAUUAGUGCAAUGAUUAUUGUAACGACCUUAUUUUGGAACUAUGAAUUUAUUUCGAAAUUUUAAAUUUUUGGAACAUGUAAUUUAUUAUUAUUUUGGACUUAAAUGCAUGUACUUUCAUUUUAUAUUUGUGAUAAGUAGUUCAAGUCGAACCAAGGGCAAGAAAGGCAAUCUACCCUCAAACUCCUCUUUUCUGGAGUUGGUUACACCCUCCCAGCCAAACACCCUCACCAGACAGCUCCAACUUAGGCCCGUACAUCAUGCAUGGCAAGUGGGCCGACCGCACGGCCUCCAAAAUUUUGGGGCCCCCAUGUGUACGUGAGUAUGUGACCUACUGACCUGUCAAUCUCUCUCUGGUGGCCUCUAUUCCUGCCUGCAUGCGAGUAUGCGACCAGGCCUGCAUGGCUGCAUGCAACUUUUUGUGUUUUUAGCCUGGGCCCUAGAGAUUGGAGAAUCUGUUGCCGUGUUGCCGGACCAGGACCGUCCGAUCUGAUCAUCCGAAUCAUCCGAUACUGAUUAGCAGCCUAGCAGGCCUGGCCUGCCGCUGCCGCCUGCCGAUUAUUUUAAUUUCUAAAUCUAAUCGCCAGAGCGCCGCCAGCCGCCGCAAUCUCGCCGAGUCACCAAGCUGCAUGCGAAAUUGCGCUGCCGCAAUCAAGCCUGCAUGCAGUGACUCCACCUGCCUCUGACCAUCUGACGGCAGGUCUUCUCCACAACAGGCCAACAGCACAACAGAACUACAAAAGGCAAAAGCUACCGCCAGGUAAGGUAAUGCUAGGUGACCGGCUCUAUGAUUUGUGUGCAAUUGGGUCAAUGAUUUGUUAAAUGUUAAUUUAGCUUUGUUGCUUUGUAAUUCAUGAAACAGGGAGUCCUAUUUAUUUAUCAUCAUAUCAUGUCUUCUAGAAAUAGAAAAUAUGAGUCAGGUAAUGAAAAGUGCAAGAAGAAACAAAGGCUUGAACAAUUUGCUGGGACUCAAAAGGGUGUCUUGAUAGAUUUGUUGUUAAGAACUGUCAAACAAGUGCACAAGAUGAAACUCCUGAGGCACAUAGUGAUGGAAAUCACGGUGAUAACACAGACAACGUUGAAGCUCACACUUUAGGAACUGAAUCAGUGCAAGUUAAUCCCAACAAUGCGGAUGGUGUUGAUGCUACCCUUGAUGGAUCAGCUAGUAUUGAAAGAGACAAUGAUUUGAGGGUUCCUUUUCAGCCUAACAUAUUUGAUCCAAGAUAUUGGGAUGGACUAGAUCAAAAACAGGUUGAUAUUUUGGUCCAAAAGGGUCCUAAAAGGGACUUGUCUAUUCAGAAAGGUCCUAAAGAUAGGUUAUCAAGGAGGUUUUCUGCAGCAUUAUAUACUAGAAUUUUAUCAAAUGGGGAAACUUGUGAUAGAGAAUGGCUGGUAUAUUCCAAAGAGCUUGAUAGAGUAUUCUGUUUUUGUUGCAAGUUAUUUAGAAAGGGGUAUUUAAGGAGUCAGCUAGCAAAUGAAGGUCUGAGUGAUUGGUCACAUGUUGGCACUCGACUUAAAGAUCAUGAAACUAGUGCAGAUCAUAUUACAAAUAUGGCUUCUUGGUAUGACAUGCGUCUCAGAUUUGAUAACAACCAAACUAUUGAUAAAGUUGCUCAUAGAGAAAUUGAGAAGGAAAAGGAACAUUGGAGGAAGGUUUUGUUCAGAAUUAUUUUGAUUGCAAAAUUUCUUGCAAAGCAUAACUUAGCAUUUCGUGGCACCAAUAGCAAGCUGUAUCAGGACAGCAAUGGCAAUUUUCUAGGCAUGGUUGAAAUGAUGGCUGAAUUUGAUCCGGUUAUGCAGGAGCAUGUUCAACGCAUAACAAAUGAUGAUAUCCAUACACAUUACCUCGGUCAUGGCAUCCAGAAUGAGGUAAUACAUUUGCUUGCUGCUUCUAUCAGGUCUGAAAUAAUUAGAAAAAUAAAGGAAUCAAAAUAUUUCUCAGUUAUCCUUGAUUGUACCCCUGAUAUAAGCCACCAAGAACAAAUGUCUUUGAUCAUAAGAUAUGUUGACACAUCUUCAGAUUCUAUUUGCAUUGAGGAAUCAUUCUUAGGUUUUCUGGAUAUUAAUGAUACUACAGGCCAAGGGUUAUUUGAUGUUUUACAAAAUGAAUUAAAGAAUCUUGACCUUGAUAUAGACAAUGUGAGAGGACAAGGAUACGACAAUGGAUCAAAUAUGAAAGGGAAAAAUAUAGGGGUACAAAAGAAAGUUUUGGAGAUCAGUCCUCGAGCCUUUUAUUCUGCUUGUGGCUGUCAUAGUCUUAAUUUAGCACUAUGUGAUAUGGCAAAGAGUUGCGGUAAAGCAAAAGAUUUUUUUGAAUCAUACAAUGUAUCUAUACAAUAUUUGGUAAGUCCACUAAGAGAUGGCAAAUUUUAAAAGAUAACAUAUCAGGAUUCACUCUCAAGCCAUUGUCAGCAACUCGUUGGGAGAGUUGUGUUGACAGUGUUAAGGCUAUAAGGUUCCAAAUGCAGGAUAUACGACAAGCUUUACUGGAAGUGUCGGAUACUGAUAAUGAUGCAACAAUAUGUAGUGAAGCUAAAUCCUUGGCGACCAAUGAGCUUGGUGACUUUGAAUUUAUAGUGGCAAUAGUUAUCUGGUAUGAAGUAUUAUCUGCCAUUAAUUUGGUCAGUAAACAAUUACAAGCAAAGGAUAUGCUUAUUGAUAUUGCUAUUGAGAAAGUGCAGGGGUUGCUUUCAUUCUUCACUAAGUAUAGAGAAACUGGUUUUCCAAAUGCAUUAGAAUCUGCAAAAGAAAUUGCACGUGAGAUGGAUGUUGAACCAACAUUCCGUACCAAGCGUAAAAUCAAAAGGAAACGGCAAUUUGAUGAGGCACGUGAAGAUGAAUCUAUUGCUUCACAAUCUACAGAGGAGUUAAUUAGAAUCAAUUAUUUUCUAUCCAUUGUUGAUCAAGCUAUUGCUUCACUUACAAAGAGAUUCGAACAAUACCAGGGAUACAAAAAAACUUUUGGUUUUUUGUUUACUUCAAAGAAAUUAUGCUCCUUAGAUGACAAGAGUCUGUUGUCUUCUUGUGCUCAUCUUGAGGCUGCACUUAAGAGUGGUGACCAUUCUGAUAUUGAUGGAAGUGGUGACCAUUCUGAUAUUGAUGGCAAAGAAUUACACGUGGAGUUAAAGUUCCUCCAAGAUUUCAUUCCAAAGGAAGACAUGUGCCCUCUUGAUAUUCUGAAGUUUGUGAAACGGAUGGGCUGUUUUCCUAAUGCCCUUGUUGCAUACAGAAUUUUGUUAACUAUUCCUGUAACAGUUGCAUCUGCAGAACGAAGCUUUUCCAAAUUGAAGUUGCUAAAGACCUACAUGCGCAGUACUAUGAAAUAAGAAAGGCUAAAUAGAUUGGCGACAAUUGCGCUUGAAAAUGAUCUUCUAGAGAAGAUUAAGUAUGAAGAUAUAAUUGAAGAUUUCAUUUCGAAGAAUACUAGACGAAUGAUGUUUUUUAAUGGAAGCUAAGAAGUUAUCAGUAAGUAAGAUUCGUCAUUUAAUCGUUUUGUACAAAUACUUAUGGUAUUACACGAGGAAGUCUACGUGCACUUUAGUUUUUUGCAUUUUAUAAAUAUAGGCCCCACUUUAUAUCUUGCACCAGGGCCACAAAAAUAUAGGUACGGGCCUGCUCCAACUCCACCCAGAACUGGCUCCACCUGGAGUUCUGGAGUGGAGCAGCUCCACCCAGAGUUGGAGUCAUGUCAAACAGGGGCUAACAAACCAAGUUCCAAGAAUUAACCGUUCGCUACUUCGCUGUCAGCCUGCUGGCUUGCAACCUGCGCCAGGCGCGAUGGCCUCCCCCGCUUUGCUCCUGUUGGGCCGGUUGGCCUGGCUGCUGGGCCUCUAGCACUGCUGCCUGGGCCGCCAGGCUUGUCUGGCCCGCGAGGCAAGCAGCUGGCCUCCCACUCCUGGGCCUGCAACCUGGUGAAGCACUCCCCUGGUGUAGCUGGGCCGUGACUUACCAAGCCAGCCUGUUGCUCCUACACGUGAUGGCCUGAUCCACUUGCUGCUUCCCUGUCACCUGCGCACACGAACAGGAAAGGAACGAAGAACAGAAACAACGCACACAAGAACAGCAAAGAACAAAGAACACGCUCCACUUCGAAUCACAAGAACUCCUUCGAUACUCCCCGGAUCAAGAUAAAACUUGAGACAAGGAUGCAAUACCACUAAAGCAAAUAGAUCCAUAAGACAAAUCUUAAAAAGCUCAAGCAUUCAUCGUAAAUUUUGGAGAAAACCGAAACCCUAACUCAAGAACAUGAUUCAGGAAAAACUCAAAAUCGAGCUGGAUUCGUGAGGGAUUUGGAGAGGGAUCACAAUAAGAAUGCUCCCUAAGAUCCUAGUAACAACUCCCUUCAACCCACCUCACGAGAUUCGGGCUCAAACAUGAUGAAUACAAAAUCUCAAAACAUAACUCCGAAAAUGGCAAAAAAGAAAAAUGUUCGGAAAUCAAAGAUUUAGCACGAUUUGAGACAACAAACAAAGUUGAAUUACGAGAACAUUUUUUAUACAAGAUGAGGACUAGCCUCCUCCCUUCAUCCACCCAUUAAUGAUGAAGAAAUCAAGAGAUAAAGAGUAAUUACCUCUCAUCUCCCUCUCUCCUCUCACUGAGCACAUGACAACCUCUAAGCAAGAUGAUAAUAAGUUGCUAAAACAAGAGAGGUGCUAAAAUAACCAGCUCCCCAUCCCUAUAUAUAGUCCGGGAUGAAUGACUAUACUACCCCUAACAUAAAAACUAGGAUAACUACCCACGCAGGGGUAUUUUAGUCCAAGUUUUUAUCCGCGCAUCGGACGGACACGCCGCCUUCACGACUUUACUUCGCCACGACGCAAACUUCACGAUGACGCCACGUGCCCUCCUUCUCGAAGCUCCGGCUGCACCAGGCUCGUCCUCAGUUUUGAGGACCAAACCGGAAAACCUGACUAUGCGGUGGUUUUAAGGCCCAAACCACCCCAAAACGUCCAUCUUCGCUUGGCCGCCACGUGAUCUCCUCGAUGUCGACGCAUGUCCAGCCUCCACCAAGCCUCUUGCUCGACUCGACCGACGCCGUCUCCAUCCCGUCAUGUCCUCUCGCCAUUCCGUGAACCAUGUGAACCGCCCAUGACGUCGCUCGGACUCCUCGGGUCCAUCGGUCCAAGCCUACUCGCAUUCAUCCUUCACCGCCCUUGGUCCAUCGGCACGAACCUUUUGCUUGACCUUCACCGCACGCUGUCAACCGCCACCUUGCAUCCUACACCUGCAAAGCAAGAGCAACAUCAAACCAACACAACGUUAUCAAUUACUCAUCAUCCAAGGGUGACCACCAUUGGUCCUUAGAAGGCAGGCAAGAUGUUUCCAUCUCGGCCUCUACCUUGUAUCUGGCUCGGGCUGAAGUUCUACGACGCCUAUGUUCAUCAUAAACAUGUGAAGAAGACAUGAGAGGAUAAAACAUCAGAAUCUCUAAAAAUAUUUGUAACUCGGAAAAAAACAUGAUGACCAUACCGUGUGCAUCAGACGGCCUAUAUGGCUAUACCCACAGCGGGGGUGGCCAAAUUCAUCAGCCAAAAUCAGACGCCUAUGUUCAUCAGGCCAAACGUGUGCACCCGACGCUAAUGUUCAUCAGGCAGGAUCGUUGUAUUGUGUCGAACACGCGCAUGGAUGAGCAUGUGCACACGACAGGAAACCAGACCACCCCAUAAGCAUUCACAUUCCAAUCAAAGUACCGCCGUGCGCCACCGCUUGCCGCCGUCCUCUGUGGCCCGUGCGCCGCCGCUAUAGUCAAAGUCGACCGCAGCCGUCGGAUCUAAAUCCGACAGUGGGAUCAGAUCUGACCCGGUCAGCAUACCGGUCAACCGCCGGUCAGCCGUGCCGCUUUUGCUAAAGAGUCCCUGAUCUUUCUAGUUUUGCAACCGCGGUCUAUCGCAGUUCAAAGAUAAUUAGAUCUAGAUCCUGUUUCUUUUGCUUUAGCCCUUGAAUUUCUGCAUAAUAGUGCCUACCGUCCUAGCCUCCAUCUUUUCAAUCGGAUAAGGCGCGGCCGCAUCACCCGGAGGAGGCGGAAGCAGUGGUGGCGGCCCAUAGUCCAUGGCUCCCUUCCCCUUCUCUGCUGAGCAGAGCAUGCGGAACUCCUGCCGGUGCCCGCCUUGUAGUCCCUACUCUUAUGGGUAAGCAGAUUGAUCUCCUAACUUUUUCGCUGAUGCGAUGAAAAUAAUUAUGGUAUGGCUUAACUUUUUCGGAUGACCAAAUGGUUUUUAUAUGUAUGGUGCUAAAUCGUUUGUUAUUGAAUCUAAAAUUCUUGUAAACAAGAUUUUUAUGGAUAUGAGAUUUUUAUUUUUUUAAAUACAUUUGUUCCACAUAGACAUCCUGAUUGUAAAUAGAAAAUCGGAGCUGCUAGCACCUGGACAUCUGAUGGGGAUUUUCUCAUCGUAUGCUCCGUCGCAACAGUGAAAAUGAACUUUAGCAAUGCUAGAAAAAGAUGUGUAUAAAAAUGACUCUUUUGUCCGAUUCGGGGAUAGAAAAACCCCGCUACAACAUAACACCAUGUUUCAUGCAAUAUCCACGAAGAGUGACGUCACUUAAAAACAAAGUUUGCAACAUCAAAAUUUACAUUUUACAACAUUUUAAAACAUAUAGUCGUAAUAUAUUAAAAAUACUAUUGCAACAUUCUAAAAGUAUAUUUUUAUUGAAAAUAUCAGUAAAAUAAAUAUAAUUAGUUAGUUAGACUAGAAAGGUGCAACAUGAAAAAAUAACUAUUGAAACAUCUAAGAUACAUUUUUGCAACAUUCCAAAAUAGUUGUUGAAACUUUCCGUCACAUAUCUAACAUCCCGAAAAUAACCACCUCAACAUCACAUAUUAACUGAAAUCCCUUAUAACAUCACCAUACAACUAUCGCAACAAAAACACACACAAAAAAUUCCCAUGGCAGCAUCCGUCCUUGGAGUUGGACGGUCUCCCCUGCUGCAAUAUCAUCACGUGUUUAUCGUGACAAAAUCACACGUUAAGAAUUCCCACCACAACAUUAUCGCUGGGUUGGGGCGUACGAGUUUUUGUUGAGGCACGGACGUCCCGACCCAAGUAUAACCGAUAGAAAAUUAGUCUUCGCAAGAUUUCUAUGAGCAUAAGUUUUUAUUUUACUAUUACGUGCAUCUCCACUAGUACAUGUAAGUGUGCUACAUGGAUACUAGAUAACCACUCCGUACAAGUUCAUUCCAUCAGAGAGGUAGAGCAUUGGGCUGCGCCACGUGCCCCCAUCUGUACACCUCCUCCUACUUCUCGAAAAAGGCUUGGGAGCAUCAUCAUGAUCGCCGAAAUAACAGAACCAACAGCACAAGCAGCGCCCAUAGCAUUGAUUUCGGGCUGACCGCGAUACUAUGCACGAACCUCUUGCUGGAAAACCUGCAGGGGAUUUUGUGAUCACUUUGAUUUGAACAAGCAGUAUAAUGCAUGAACCAUUUGAGUAUUUGACUGCAAUGUAUAUAUGCUCUGCUGUUGUAAAUAAAGUGUACUGACGAGAAGUACUGAACUUACUGUGCCAUCCUCCCAGACGCCUUGAUGCUCCCGGUUCGUCCAGCAGGAAGGGCAGGGUUUCGCCAUUGCUCCUGCAACGCUCAGAUCAAUAUGGUGUACGUGAUGUAAACCAAGCCCAGCCAACCUUAUAUUGCGUUUUGUUUUGUUUAUUAUCUACUACAACACGAAGGGAUCGGAAGCGUCUAGCAUAUAUUCAUAAAUCUAUGUGUAAUUUAAUUAAUGCAGCUGGUACUAAUAACAGGAUGUGGACAUGUCGUUAGUAGUGACAGUUUUCUCACCCAACACACCCUAUCACUACGGGAAACAGUAAAGUUGCCGAGUAUUUUCUAUUUGCCGAGUGUUUUAUCUCGGGCACUCGGCAAAGGAGGUAUUUGCCGAGUGUCAAAUUGAAAACACUCGGCAAACAUUAUACACUCGGCAUAAAUCCUCUUUACCGAGUGUCAAACUGAAAACACUCGGCAAACUCGUAACCGACACCCAGCAAACAACUGAUACUCGGCAAACCUUAACCACAUGACCGGCACGUGCGACGUCCGUUAGGGGGGACGUGCCGGACGUUAGUCCUUUGCCGAGUGUCGGUUGCAGACACUCGACAAAGUUACAAGUUUGCCGAGUGCCACGGUCGACACUCAGCAAAGACAUGUGUUUGCCGAGUGGUUUUCUACGGCACUCGGUAAACAUGAAUGUUUGCCGAGUGUUUUUUGCGACACUCGGCAAAACCAAAAUAAUUUUUCCCUCCUCCACCCUCCACACUUUUUGUACUCCCCACGUAUGACAUUUGGCACUGCAUGUUAGAAGGUGGUCUAUUUCUUAACUUGUUUGCUAUAUUUAAUGAAUUAAUUUCAUUUAGAGUAAUUUGUUGAUUUAAGUCAAAUUUGAACUGCAAGUUAUUGGAAUAAUGGAAUAAUAUGAGUGAAAAAAUCAUAUUCAUGUUAAUGAGUCCAAAUUGAGGUCUCAUCCGGGAAAUGAAAAGAAAUUUCGAACAUUUUGUUAAGAAAACACGACCACGAACGUGUGGCCGAAUGAUUUUUUAUUUCUCAAAAAUAUAAACGAAGUCUGAAAAUCACGAGAUUUGCCAAGAUGCCAUGAUUUCAUAUAUGGAGGCUGUGGUAAAAAAUUGAGAAGGUUUCGCACAAAUUUUGACAUAUGAUGCUUAGAAAUCGAAGCAUCUCAGGAGAGGAUUCGUAGAAGUUGGAAAGAUCCGGUAAGAUUUUGAGUCGAAUUGAUACUUGAAUUUGGGAUUGAGUUCAAAAUUUUUUGUAUAGGCCAUAGACAACAUAGAUUGGUUCAUGUCAAAUUUUGGGAAUUUUUCGGAUCCGUUUGAUAAUUUUUAUUUAUUAAUUGCAAUUAUAUAAAUUUAAUAGAUAUAAAUUCAAUUUGACCUAUAAAUCCAUGAAAUAAUGGAAUAAUAUGAGUAGAAAAAUGAACUAGGCAUUGUUUAGUGAUUUUGACUAGGUUUUUGCAAAGUUUACGGACAAAAAAUUACUAAAACACGUUGUAAUAUUAGUAAAGGUUUACACAUGAAAUAUAAGCGUACUUUGCCGAGUGUCCUGCGGAAACACUCGGCAAAGGAGGCUACUUGCCGAGUAUCGCAUCGAGGCACUCGGAAAAAGUACGUUGCUUGCUGAGUGUCACAUCGAAACACUCGGCAAACAUUCCGCGGGCCCACCACCAGGCAGCAACACCGUUUGAAAAUCCGAAAAAUAAAUUAAAAUAGGGCCUUUGCCGAGUGCCCGCGAUCUGGCACUCGGCAAAGCCUGGAAGUUAAGCACCCGGGCUGGCUGCCCGCCCUAACUCACACACACAAGCACACACCCACACACCACACACACACGCCUCCCACCCGCCCCCGGCCCCCCGUGCCCCCGGCCGCCGGUGCCGCGCGCCCCCAGCCGCCGCCCCCAACCCUCGAUGCCGCGCCGUGCUCGCCCCCAGUGCGCCCCCGGCCCCCGGCGUGCCCCGCUGGCCCCCUUAUCGCUCUCAGCCGGUAAUUUUUCAAUAUUUGCUGUUCAAAUUAAUUAGAAAAUAAAUUAGUAAUUAGGAAAUGAUAGGAUGAAUUAGAAAAUGACUUGUAGAUUAGAAAUUUGAAAAAUGAUUAGAAAUUAUAAAAGGGUAGGAUGACUAGGGAGGUGAUAGGAGUUUCUUUUAAAAAUUAGAAGAGGUUGAAUGAUGUAUGGAUUAUUUGCUUCCUUUUGAGCUGUGUGUGGUUGUCGGCCAUCGUGCCGUUAAAUUGGAGUGGAUAUGGUUGUCGGCCAUCAUGCUGUUUGAUUUGAUGCAGGUUUUAGAAACCUCCUCGUGCAGGGGAGGUGCUGCCAAAAUUACGACUUGACAGUUUUAUAUUUCUUUUCUUGCAGGAGAGGCUACGUUACCGUCCACAACUCGUCACUUUGCAGGAUAGCAAGGUGAUGCAUCCUACACCUCUCUUUUCCGUAAGAUGUUCAUAUAUCAUGUAACCUAUGUAGGCCUCUCCUGUUCGAAAGAGAUACGGUUGGAAAUAUGCAGAUCUUUGCAUAUCUAUAACCGUAUCUGUUUUGAAUUGUCCACGUUUUUUGGACAACCCGAGGAUGUGUAGGUGGGUUUAGUAUCCAUGGUCUACUCCGAUCCGAGAUAGAGUUUCGGCAGCACCUCCCUAUUGUUCUCCGGAUACACAAUCUCCCAUCAAGGACGUGUAUUUGGAGAACAGCGGGGAGGUGCUGCCGAAAUUCUAUCUUGGGUCAGAGUAGACCAUGGAUACUAAACCAACCUACACUCGGCAAAUCUUAAUUUUUUACCGAGUGCCUCGAGGCCAACACUCGGCAAACUUUAGUUUUAUGCCGAGUGUCUGCCAUCUGACACUCGGCAACCUUGCCGUUUACCUGGACGCCGUCACCGCCAUUGUCGUCGAGUGUUUAUUUUCGCCGAGUGUCUAUUUGCCGAGUGCGCGAUGUUUGACACUCGGCAAACAUCUGUUUGCCGACGCAAAAUUUGCCGUGUGCUGAAUGCUGAGUGUUACACUCGGCAAACCCUUUGCCGAGUGUUUUUGGGUCUUCGCCGAGUGCCUCUGGCACUCGGCAACUUUACUGUUUCCUGUAGUGUAUGUAGCUGAGAAACAAACCUUCUGUUUCAAAUUCUAGAUCGUUUAAACUUUUCUAGGUUCAUAGAUAUUAGUAUGCAUCCAGCAUCUAGACCUACAUUAUAUAGCACCUACAAAAACCAAAACGACCAACAAUUUGGAAUGGAGGAAGUAAUAAUCAAACGUAUCCAGCAAAGCAAGAAAUUGUGUAUGGGAAAGCAUGCAAGCCCUAACCGUGUGCAUUAGGUGACCCAUGCCUACCGCAGGGACAGCCGGUGAUGAUCCCAGAUGCGGAAGGAGAGGUGCAACGCCUUGGUGCGGCGCACGGUGGCCGAUCGGCCGGAGUAGCAGCUGCGCGGAGACGCUGGAGUGGCAUAGCACUUCUUAUUCGAUUUGAUCUGAUAGGUUAAUUUGCUUUGGUUUGGGUUUUCCGGAUCGGGGAGCUGGUUGUGGCUCUUUGUGAUUGGGGUGCAUAGUAGGGGGAUUGGGCGCGGGUACUUAAAUUAGGGGUUAAGUAUGAUCUGCGCUGUUGUAUUCUUGUUCUCGAUGAGCAUCAUUGAAUGCUAGGCUGGUGAUGAAGAGAUGGUACUACGCCAGUCGUCAAUCUUUCCAUGAAAGCACUACUAGAGAACUCGGUAUUAGUAUCGAUUCGUAGACUGCAUAUCUUCCAAAAAUGCAUCCGGGAUUAAUCCGUCGAGAUAAAAGGGGGGUCUUUUAUCACGGGUCCCUUAACCGGGAUAUCAAACCCUCAUUUAGUCCCAGUUUGUAAAACCAACCGGGACUAACGAGAUUGCCACGCUAGGCGGUGGACAGACCCCUUUAGUCUCGGUUGGUGUUACAAACCGGGACUAAAGGUCGCCUCUUUAGUGACGGUUUGUAAAACAAACCGGGACUAAAGUGCGUGCGUACAGCACCAUGCAGGCGCCUGCAUGGCGCCUAUAAUUUCAUGCAUAUCUCACGUACACCUUUAGUUAACCUUUAGUAGUUGAGAACCUUUUUUUAAUGAAAUCAAUCAAACUAAUAUUUAAACGAAUCAAACAAUUAUUUAAAUGAAUCAAACCAGUAUUUAUACAAAUACUAUACAAUUCUUAGCAUACUAUAUAUGCAUAUAAAUCUAAUUAGCGUACGUAUUACAUAUAUAUACAAAAUAAAUCAAACUACAUAUAUAUCUAUGAUGAUCUUCCCAUCGAGGUGCUGGGAGCACCUAAUUUUCAUCCAUGGUAAUAAAAUUCUCCUUUUGAAUUUACCACCUCGUCCACCAGGAAUAAAAUGAGACCUUCACAUAUUACCGCUACUCUUUCCUUCUUCAAAAGUCCCAAUUGAAUAUUCCACAUCUGUAAUUUGGAUACAUAUAUGUGAAUUUUACACCAACAAUUGUAGAAAAUAAAUAACUAUUAAUAGUUUUAUUCCACAUCUUUCCUUUACUAAUGCCCGUUCAUAGUUCGAUAGUAGUGGUUGACUGUUCUUGGUUUGUUCUUGUGUCUUGAUGAAUUUAUAUAAUUCUCUUCGAUCUACUGGCGAUGGCUCCAUCUCCCUUGCUUUUCUUAAUUCUCUCUGUUCCCUCAACCACUCACUAGCUUGCACUUGGAUUUCGGUCCAGCGUUCCUCAUGAGCCAUUGCCUCUCAGCGUUCCUCAGAAGCCACCUCAGGCUCCUUUGUUUUCUUCUUAUGCUGUCUUGGCUUGGGAGGCAGUAGUCGUGACUUCUUAAAUGGUGCUCUUAGUCCCGGCGAAGGUGAUUGUGGAGGGGUGUUGUUGUCGUCAUCGUCGCUCCAACCACCAGGAUGUGGUGGAGAUGGAGACCUUGAUCAUGGAGCAGGUUGUGGUGGAGAUGAUGGUCUGGAUGUUUGAGGAGAUGGUCGCUGCUGUGGAUUUACGGAGAGUGGUCUUGAGCUCUGAGGAGGUGCCUCCACGCCGGGGAUGAUGAUGUAGCGUUUGCGCCAUAGAAUGACCCCCUGAACCACUUCUCCUAGUGUUGUUGACCCGUCGCCUGCUGGGAAGUCGAGCUCGAGGCCUUCAAAUUGGCUAUCAGGGAUUCUCUCUACGCCAACACUAGCAUAGCCAGGUGGAAGCUCCAUACCAUGGCAUGUAUGAUUUGGCAGGAUUGGCAAUGUACUCCCAUACGCCACCUGGAUAUAUAAAAGAAAUGAUGUUCUUAAACUUCAACUUGCCAAAGCACUCCCAAGGCUCCGGUGCAUAAAUAUUAUGUAUAUAUACGUACCUUAAUGCUGACAUUGCGGAUCGGUGUAUGCAGCUCACAUGUGGUGCAUUGCGUGAUGGCAUCCACAGGGCAUAGUUGCUCUUCCACGGGUAAUCCUGGCGUAUGUGGCUUAGGGAGCCCUAUGGACGCAGCUGCUCCCGAGGUGUUGAGAAGGGCUGCCAACUGCGUCGGCCAUUCGUCUACUGCCUCCCUCCUGCAUUCUUACUUCUACAGAUUGUAGUUUGGAUUCUAUCGUGCGCCGCCAACUCUCAUCCUCUUGCUCCUUUCUUCGAUUUUGGCUUGUGUACUUGUCCAAGUCACCUUGGAAUGCGAACUUCCACAGAACAAGCCCGAACCCUCAGGUACGUCCUGGGUGUUCGGGAUUCCUGAGGGCCAUUGUGAGCUCAUCAUUCUCUCGGCACACCGUAAACAUCCCAUCCUUAACAUCUUUAAUAAUCUUGUCAAGCUUUGUGGCCGCUUCACGUAGCAGGUCAUCGAAGACCACCAUCCCAUCAUCUAGUUUUAUCUCACCUCCAUGAGCGUAUGUUCAUGCUGAAAAUCAGCCGAUGAUCCUCAGCGUCGGACACACGACCCGAGAGAAUCUGCUUAACUCCUGUUCGGGUUAUCGCACCGGUGCGGUUCGCGCGGCGUGCCAGUCAAUCUGACUUGUUGAUUGAUAAGGAAAUAAAAAUAUUAAAUUCCAAGGGCUCCGAUCGGCUAGAGUUCCGAUCUGUCUUUAAAAGCGUGUCGGCGAAUCGGCCGAUUUACUGUAGAGGUGACCAGCUAUAAAACAGCCGAUACUGUGUAGCGAUUGUAAAGAAAAGCUACUAGAGCAAACUAAACAACGCUAGGGAAACAACACUUGGGAUAGAUCUAAUCGGCUGUAUGACGACAAAGAACGAAAGCAAUAAAAGCCGACAGUUCGUAUCUCAAGUUGGAUAACUGGUAAUAAAAACUAAAACAAUAGGUAGAAUCUACGAUUCUAGUUGAUAUCGAUCACUGGUGAAUAAAUCUAAAUGAAACAACAGCGAUGCGCCCGAAGUUAAAGCUUAGAUAUUACUCGGUAAGCGGAACUUACAGAAUCGGCCGAAGAUUGUGUUGAUGUAGCCCUGCCAACCCGUACGAACUCGUGAAAGAAAAAGGUAUUCUGGCAAGGUCGCCGACUUGAAAAUAAAGUACGAGGAAAAAGUAUAUUGGUUGUAUUAAUUGAUGUGUUCUCUUUACAAACCUCUAGAGGUGGCUAUUUAUAGCCUGUUACAACUGAUUUUCUAACCGACUAGGAUCUAUCUCUAAUUUUAUAUGAUAACAAACACAACUCGUAUCGGAGUUGGUUAUCAUAUCCCCACGGGCCAAUCUCCUUCUUCAGCCAAUCUUUUCUCCGGCCCACCUUAGGCCCAUACUGACCAAGCCGCUCUAGCUCCCAAUCGGCCAACCUUUACCGACCCCUUUUGUCAAUCGGCCGAAACACUGUAGCUUCAAUUGGCUGAUUCCCAACUGUAGCUUUUAGCUCGCCGCAUCGACACGUCUUUUUCCUUCUUUUGACGCCGAUUCAAAACACGUGUCAAAAUCCGGCGUCAACAGCGUAAUACCAAUUUUUCGAUCGUUCGGGCUAAUCAAUUGUUCCUGGUACAAUACCCCGCUCAAUCAGAUCUUUUUCCAAUCUGAUUCCAUUUGGGAAUUGCUUUGGCGUAACCACCUCACCCUAGCUUAUGAUGGUACUCCUUCCCCCUAGUAUUGCCUGUGUUCUGGGUGAACUUGUUCUUACUAUCUUCGGUGCUCUUGUAUUGUACAAAUGCCUCCCAGUGGUCCUUACACUAUGGAUACACAUUAAAAUCUAGAGUUCGGCCCUUCUUAAUGUAGGUGGUAUCCAACAUCUUCUUGAAUGUCUGGAAUUGUGUGGCCAUCUUCUUCAGGGUCCACGCUUUCACAUCAUUUUCAAUAUAUCCGUUGAGAAAUGUGAAAUAUUUCUUAACUUCUUCCCAUAGCAUAUUCUUUUCUGGUUCCUGGAGCGCAUAUGGAUUAGUCGUUUUGCCCUUCCAUUCCCUUAUGCUGAUGGGCAUGUUCUCCCUUAUGAUUGCCUCGAUCUGACUCACGUACUGUGUUGCCACUUUUUGGGGAGCAACCGGCCUGCCCUCUUUUGUGACUUUCGUGAUGAUAGCCUUUUUUGCUCCAGUUUUCACCUUGGAAGGACCUCGGGGCUUCGAACGACGGUUCAUCGAUCCAUAGGGCUAACAGUUCAAGAUUCAUUAAUUAAUUAGUACAUAGUAAUAAUGAAUAACAUCCUAUAUUAUUUAUAGAGAGGGUUAAAAUAUGAUCUAUACCUCGUCGGAACCUUCUGCCAUAGUAACGUUUUGCUGGGGCUCGGGCUCUUCAUUGCCUUCGGCAGACAGGUUGAGAAACAUGUUUGCCUGGCUACCUUCUUCAUCGGUGUACGCUAUGGGAAGGUUGGAACUACUAUCACCAGCAAUAAUCCGCUCCAUUAGAUACCUUCUGGCCUCGUCGUCUACCAUCGAUCUCAGCUACUUUGUACAUGAAAUCAUAUAUAGAACAACCAUGAAAAAAAAUUCAUUUCAACAAUUUUUUUUGAAAUAUACAAAAUUUACUACAUUUUUGAAAUAUACAAAAUGUAAUAUACAAAAUGUACUAUACAAAAUAUAAUAUAAAAAAUGUAACAUACAAAAUGUAGUAUACAAAAUGUAAUAUACAAAAUAUACUAUGCAAAAUGUAACAUACAAAAUAUAAUAUACAAAAUUUACUAUACAAAAUGUAAUAUACAAAACGUACUAGGCAAAAUGUAAUAUAAAAAAUGUAACAUACAAAAUAUAAUAUACAAAAUGUACUAUGCAAAAUUUAAUAUAAAAAAUGUAACAUACAAAAUGUAAUGUACAAAAUGUAAGUGAACCGAGCAUGAAGUAGCUAACCUUCACAAAACAUGGGCUCCGCUCAUUUAUUGUUGUUAAGCUUUGUUUUAUACUUUAGAGAGGGAGAAAAAUAAGUUUGUUUGUUGUUAAGCAUGUAGAUGAUUUGUAUUUAUAUAUAUUUUUGAGCUACAAUGUGAUGGAUAUGUAUAAAUUAGCCAUAUAAAUUAUAGGUGUAAUUUCAUACUUUAGUACUUUUCAGAUAGAGGUAUGGAAUUAGCCAUUUUUAGAAUAAGUAAAUUAUGUGGGAACUAUUGAAUUUUUUAAUAGUUUAGUUAUUUGAAAAUCAAAUAUGGGCUAAAUAAUUUAUGUAUUUCUAUGUAAACUUUCAGCAAUAUUUGAGUUUGUGAUACUGAUGUUAGAAAUUAUCAAGAAGAUUCUUCCUGAGAAUAAUGAAUUGCCAUCCACAACAUAUGAAGCUAAACAGAUUGUUUGCCCUCUGGGAUUAAUGAUAGAUGAUAGUGAUGCAGUAAAAUAAUUAUUUAAGAAGGUAAUAUAACUAGUGUAGAAUUAAUGAGUCAUUCAAGCUUAUUGUAAAUAUAAUUGCUAAUUGAAUAUAUUUUUGCAUGUUUGAAAUAUGUAAAGUUUUAAUUUCUACUUCAUGAAAUCCAGCGAAACCCGGCGAGAUCCGAUGCCUACAAGUUCCACCCGGCGAGUAUAAAUUUUCAAAUAGAAGCAAAUAGAAAUAGUGUAGAAUUUAUGACUAGUUAAAACUUAUUGUAAACAAACUUGCUAAUUUAACAUAUUUUUGCAUGUUUGAAAUAUGUAAAUUUCUUAUUUUUUGUUUCCUGAAAUCCAGUGAAAACAAAAAUAGAAUAAAUUUCCAAAUAGAAGCAAAAAUAAAUCGUAUAGAACAUAUGACUAGUUAAAACUUCUUGUAAACAAACUUGCCAAUUUAAUAUAUUUUUGCAUGUAUGAAGUAUGUAAAUUUCUUAUUUUUUGCUUCUUGAAAUCCAUUGAAAACAUAAAUCGAAUAAAUUUCCAACUCGAAGCAAAAAGAAAUAGUAUAGAAUUUAUGACUAGUUAAAACUUAUUGUAAACAAACUUAUUAAUUUAAUAUAUUUUUGCAUGUUUGAAAUAUGUAAAUUUCUUAUUUUUUGCUUCCUGAAAUCCUGUGAAAACAUAAAUCGAAUAAAUUUCCAAAAACCAGUCGGGAGAUGAAAAACAGGAGAAGGUCCCCAUUUAUCCCGGUUAUAAAGUAGAACCGGCAUAAAAGGGGAUUUUUCGAUUCCCGCCUAGAAGUACCCAUUUAUCCCGGAUGAUAAUAAACCGAGAUAAAAGGGGAGGGCCUUUUAUCGCGGGUGAUCAUAAACCGAGAUAAAAGGCCCCCCCCUUUUAUCUCGGUUUGUAUUAGAAACCGAGGUUAAAUGUCCUGUAAUCCAGGUUUCAAUUACAAAGCGGGAUUAAAGUUUUAGCAUCUUCUACAAGCCCCCGCGACCAACACUUAGCAAAAUUUUUACUCCUCGGCCUCGUCCCACCCGUCGCCGGCAUCCGCCGUUGCCGCUCCCCGUCGCCACCGCCGGCCCAUCCUACUCGCUGGCCUCCUCCAUCUCCGUCGCCGCCGCCAUCAUCUUCGCCCGCAAUCAUCGCCGGCCUCCUCCUCUGUCCCUGUCGCUGCCGCCGGCGCGUCCAUCCCUAUCGCCGUGACCUCCGCGCGUGCCCCUCAUCGCGCACCAGCGCCACCUCCUCCCCGUCGUCGUAGCUGUCCCCAUCGCCGCGACCGCUGUCCCCAUCGCCAGUCGGCCGGCCGCCUCCCCCGUCAUCGCCACGCAUCCUCAUCGCCAACGCACCCACCUCCAACUCCGGUCGUCCCCCUGGCCCGAAUUAGUUUUAGAAAUUUGGUAGAUUACUUCUAAUUGUUUGUGGAAUAUAGUUGUAUACUACUAAUUAAUGCUUAGAAAUUAAUUGAACUUUGGUACAAAUUUUUACAAAUUUUUGUUGAAAUUCUUAGAAAUUAGUUUUUAUAUUACAUUUUACAUAGUACAUUUUGUAUAUUACAUUUUGUAUAUUUCAAAAAAAAUUGUUGAAAUGAAUUUUUUUCGUGGUUGUUCUAUAUAUGAUUUCAUGUACAAAGUAGUUGAGAACGAUGGCAGACGACGAGGCCAGAAGGUAUCUAAUGGAGCGGAUUAUUGCUAGUGAUAGUAAUUCCAACCUUCCCAUAGCGUACACCGAUGAAGAGGGUAGCCAGGCAGACAUGUUUCUCAACCUGUCUGCCGAUGGCAAUGAAGAGCCCGAGCUCCAGCAAAAUGUUAUCGUGGCAGAAGGUUCCGACGAGGUAUAGAUCAUAUUUUAACCCUCUCUAUCUAUAAUAUAUGAUGUUAUUCAUUAUUACUAUGUACUAAUUAAUUAAUGAGUCUUGAAAUGUUAGCUCUCUGGAUCGAUGAAUCUUCGUCCGAAGCCACUGAGGUCCUUCCAAGUUGAAGACUGGAACAAAAAAGGCUAUCAUCACGGAAGUCACAGAAGAGGGCAGGCCGGUUGCUCCCCAAGAAGUGGCAACACAGUACGUGAGUCAGAUCGGGGCAAUCGUAAGGGAGAACGUGCCCAUCAGCAUAAGGGAAUGGAAGGACAAAAUGACUAAUCCAUACGCGCUCUAGGAUACAGAAAAGAAUAUGCAUUGAGAAGAAGUUAAGAAACAUUUCACAUUUCCCGACGGAUAUAUUGAAAAUGAUGUGAAAGCGUGGACACAGAAGAAGAUGGCCACACAAUUCCAGACAUUCAAGAAGAUGUUGGAUAUCGCCUACAUUAAGAAGGGCCGAACUCCAGAUUUUAGUGUGUGUCCAUAGUGUAAGGACCACUGGGAGGCAUUUGUAAAAUACAAGAGCACCGAAGAUAGUAAGAACAAGGUCACCCAGAACACAGGCAAUGCUGGGGGGAAGGAGUACCAUCAUAAGCUAGGGCGAGGUAGUUACGCCAAAACAAUUCCCAAAUGGAAUUAGAUGGAAAAAGACCUGAUUGAGCGGGGUAUCAUACCAGGAACAAUUGAUUGGCCCGAACGAUCAAAAAAUUGGUAUUACGCUCAUGAAGGUGAGAUAAACCUAGAUGAUGGGACGCUGGUCUUCGAUGACCUGUUAAGUGAAGCGGCCACAAAGCUUGACAAGAUUAUUAAAGAUGUUAAGGAUGGGACAUUGAUGGUGUGCCAAGAGAAUGAUGAGCUCACAAUGGCCCUCGGGAAUCCCGAACACCCAGGACGUACCCGAGGGUUCGGGCUUUUUCUGUGGAAGUUCGUAUUCCGAGGCGACUUGGACAUGUACACAAGCCAGAACCAAAGAAAGGAGCAAGAGGAUGAGAGAUGGCGGCGUACGAUAGAAUCCAAACUGCAGUCAUUAGAAGUAAGAAUGCAGGAGGGAGGCAGUAGACGAAUGGUUGACACAGUUGCUAGCCCUUUUCAACACCUCGGGAGCAGCUGUGCAUCCACAGGGCACCCUGAGCCAUAUACGCCAGGAUUACCCGUGGAAGAGCAACUAUUCCUUGUGGAUGCCAUCACGCAACGCACCACAUGUGAGCUGCAUACACCGAUCAACAACCUCAGCAAUAAGGUACGUAUAUAUACAUAAUAUUUAUGCACUGGAGCCUCGGGAGUGCUUUGGCAAUUUGAAGGUUAAGAACAUCAUUUCUUUUAUAUAUCCAGGUGGCGUAUGGGAGUGCAUUGCCAAUCCUGCCAAAUCAUACAUGCCAUGGCAUGGAGCUUCCACCUAGCUAUGCCAGUGUUGGCGUAGAGAGAAUCCCUGAUGGCCAAUUUGAAGACCUAGAGCUCGACUUCGCAACAGGCUUCGGGUCAACAACACUAGGAGAAGUGGUUCCCGAGGUCAUUCUAUGGCGCAAAUGCUACAUCAUCAUCCCCGGCGUGGAGGCACCUCCUCAAAGCUCAAGACCACUCUCCGCAAAUCCAUAGCAGCGACCAUCUCCUCAAACAUCCAGACCAUCAUCUGCACCACAACCUGCUCCACGAUCAAGGUCUCCAUCUCCACUAUAGCCUGGUGGUUGGAGCGACGAUGACGACAACAACACCCCUCCAUGAUCACCUUCGCCGGGACUAAGAGCACCAUUUAAGAAGUCCCGACUACCGCCUCCCAAGCCAAUACAGCGUAAGAAGAAAACAAAGGAGCCUGAGGUGACUUCUGAGGAACGCUAGGAGGCAAUGACUCAUGAGGAACACUGGACCAGAAUCCAAGUGCAAGCUAGUGAGUGGUUGAGGGAAUAGAGGGAAUUAAGAAAAGGAAGGGAGAUGGAGCCACCGCCAGUAGAUCGAAGAGAAUUAUAUAAAUUCAUCAAGACACAGGAACAAGCCAAGAACAGUCAACCACUACUAUCAAACUAUGAACGGGCAUUAGUAAAGGUUGAUGAGAAGAAAAAAAGGAAAAAAGUCGAGCUACCAGCUACACCGCCAAGUGAACCGAAAUGGACCUUUGAGCUAGGCAUGCCUAUUGUUAGCCCUGAUUCGCUAAAGAAGCUAUCAACGAAGAUGUACGAAUUCCAUCAAUGGUACAUGAAGUUGUCUGCCGACGAGAGGGAGAUGUUGGGCCUUAAGAUAAAACCGAUAGAUUUUCAUGGCGAAGGCGAGGCAGUCCUGUGGCUACGAUUCAAGGAUAUAUACGAAGUGUACCAUCAUGGUGCCCUAGACGUCUCUCUGAUGAGCGCUUGGACUCUGUAAGUGUCCGUUUAUAUGUACAUGUAAAUUUUGACUCAUAUCAUUUUUUUGCAUGCGUUCACCGUACUAAUUAACUUUAUCUUUCAUUUUAUAUAGGAUGCUAAUUCGGAUGGGCCGACAUGAAGCGUACCUCCAUAUUGGCUUCAUGGAUCCAUCCAUAGUGAAGCAAGCCCAGAUACGAGAUUUUCCAGACAAAAUGUUGCUCGCAGUAUACAAUUCCUUAGACAGAUAAAAAUUAAAGGAUCACAUACUACUUCCAUACAACUUCAAGUAAGUGUGUGUAUACCGUCUAUAUUCGUUUUCUUUUUCCUUAUCUGAUUAAUGUUAGUUACCUCUAAUAUAUAUGAACAUUUACAUACACAGCUUCCACUGGAUCCUCAUUAUUAUUAACAUUGAUUGAAGUCAUGUCACUGUCUUCGAUUCGUUGAGGAGAGAUCUGAAGGAGUAUCAAGACGUGCAACACACGCUAGACAUGUACUAAUUCUGGACCUCUAUCUCUAUACAAAAUUUUGUUUCCUAAAUUUUAACCUAACACUAUAUCAUUCAUUAUUUUAAUUUGCAGAGCAUGGAGAGAAUUCAUCAAGGCAGAUAGAUCAGGUCAAUUCAAAGAAAAACUUACAUGGAGAACAGACUUCCCGGUACGUAUGAAGUUUGCACAUUUUGUACAUUCUAUAACACGAAUAUUUAAUAACUUAAUUAUUUUUUCCCACUACAUUGCUUAAGAUAGGAACCUGGGAAUGAUAAUCUAUGUGGUUACUAUGUCUGUGAGCACAUGCACAAUUUAUUGGGACCCAAUACCACCAAGGCCACGGAGCACGAAUUUAAAGUAUGUAAAAUAAAACUAUUAAUAGUUAUUUAUUUUCUACAAUUGUUCGUGUAAAAUUCACAUAUAUGUAUCCAAAUUACAGAUGUGGAAUAUUCAAUUGGGACUCUUGAAGAAAGAAAGAGUAGCGGCAAUAUGUGAAGGUCUCAUUGGAUUCCUGAUGGACGAGGUGGUAAAUCCACAAGAAGAUUUUCAUUACGAUGGACGAAAAUUAGACGCUCCCAGCACCUCGACGGGAAGAUCAUCGUAGAUAUAUAUAUAUAGUUUGAUUUAGUUUGUAUAUAUAUAUAUAAUAUGUACACUUAUUAGAUUUGUAUAUAUAUAUAUAUAGUACACUAAGAAUUGUAUAGUAUUUGUAUGAAUACUUGUUUGAUUCAUUUAAAUACUUAUUUGAUUCGUUUAAAUACUAGUUUGAUUGAUUUUAUUAUAAAAAAAAGUUCUCAACCACUAAAGGUUAACUAAAGGGGUACGUGAGAUAUGCACAAAAUUAUAGGCGCCAUGCAGGCUUGCAUGGCGCUGUACGCACGCACUUUAGUCCCGGUUAGGCGACCUUUAGUCCCGGUUUGUAACACCAACCGGGACUAAAGUAGGAUCUUAUAUCCCGGUUGAGGGACCAGUGAUAAAAGAUCCCCCUUUUAUCUCGACGGAUUAAUCCCGGAUGCAUUUUCGGAAGAUAUGCAGUCUACGAACCGGUAUUAAUACCGAGUUCUCUAGUAGUGCUGGAUGAUGUAAGUGCCUUGACUCUUUUUAUGUAGCACGGAGAUGCUUAAUAUGACUCUACAUUAUAUUUGCUUUUGUGUCUGCGAUCUGUCACACAAAUUUUGAUUGCAUAAUGUUUUUGAGAUUCAUUAGGGUUGUUCUUUGGUUCCCACUUGUACCUGCAGAAUUAUUGUUUCAAGAGAGAUGUUUUAAUUUAGCCGAGUUGGUCAGUGUAAGCUUCUUCAUCCCUUGCCAACAUUUCAGCGCGUACAAGCAUUCAGCUACAAUAGGAUCACCAGUAACCUCAGGAAAACCACGACCCGACGGGUUUUCUGUGGUGAACAAGCUUCCCUUCUCUUGCACUCCCUCCAUUAUAUUCUCAAAUUCUCAAAUAUAAAUCUUAACCCCUUUUUCCUUGUACAGGCUUAGCAUCACAGUGCAAACCCUCCGUUCUUCAAAUUAAUGUAAAUCUUCAUCCUUUUUUCCUUUAUAAGCUUAGCAUCACAACCCCAGAUUUGGUACUCACAAGUUGUCCACCAGAACAAUCGAAUCUUUAUUUGGUAUGGCGCUCCACAGUGACCACACCUUUAGCCAUGAGUCGGAGCUGCUGGAGGAUGGAGCAUGCAUAUUUGAGAAUGUCGUGCUUUUGACUACUCCUAUUGAGAUGGAUUUUUAGGAUGCUCUCCGCAUCAAAUUCGAGCAAAACUGUCGCGAAUGAGCACCUCAUUCCCAUCCCAGGUUGCUCUCCAAUCUUCUACUUGUGGAUGAUCCAAUGCAACUGGCUAGAGGUAGCUGAUCCUUGCCGUAUCCAAUCGCAUCAUAUAUAACCACAGGUCUACAGAUCAGGCCCGGCAGAAUGCACAGUGCUCCCAUCACCUGAGCAAGCAGCUAAUUAAACCUUGCCGAGCAAUUACCACACAUGGCUGCUGGCGAGACGACGACACCGCCGUUCAGUUCCGUGCACGUGAACAGGCGCCUGGCCACCGCCAACCGCCUCAUGGCGGCCGUCCACGCAGCGCUCGCCGCCGCGGCCAUCGCCCACCGCGCCCUGCACCUGCAUCAGCUCAGCGGCGGCGUGGCCCGCAACGCCGCCAUGGUCGCGGCGGACCUGACGCUCCUGUUCCUGUGGACGCUGUCGCAGUCGGGCCUGUGGCGGCCCGUCUCGCGCGCCGCGUUCCCGGACCGGCUGCUGGAGUCCCGGCGGCGCGGGGACCUCCCGGCCGUGGACGUGCUGGUGGUGACGGCGGACCCGGACAAGGAGCCGGCGUUGGGGGUGAUGAACACGGUGGUGUCGGCCAUGGCGCUGGACUACCACGGCGGGAGGCUGAGCGUGUACCUAUCGGACGAUGCCGGGUCGCCGCUGACGCUGAUGGCCGCCCGCAAGGCCUACGCCUUCGCCAGGGCGUGGGUGCCCUUCUGCAGGAGGCACUCGGUGCAGUGCCCGUGGCCCGACAGGUACUUCGCCGGCGACGACGGCCAGGAUGACGGCGGCGAUCGCUGCGGUGAGGCCGCCGAGGAGAGGCGAAGAAUGAAGGUAUCUGUGUAACGAUGAUGGAGCUAGCGUCAACAAAUUUUCUCAACUAAUGUCUUUUGUACGUAUAACUUAAUUUCUGUGCAGAAAAUGUACGAGACGUUCAAAGGGGACAUAGAGGAGGCCAGUAAGGAGAAGAGUAUUUCCAGGAGCUGGACGAAAGAAAAACGUCAGGAUCACGAUGCUUAUGUCGAGGUAAAUCCAAUUCAAUCAAAGCAAUUCCUGAUCAUCAGUUGAGUUGAAUUAACUAGCAGCUUCAUCUAUAUAUGUAAAUCUGUAUCUUGCAUGCAACCAAUUCAAUCCGCAGAUCAUCACCGCGGGCGAGGAGGAGGACGACGACCAACAGGGCGAGGAAACCAUGCCGUUGCUGGUGUACGUGUCCCGCCAGAAGCGGAGGGCGUCCCCUCACCACUUCAAGGCCGGCGCUCUCAACGCCCUGGUGCGCUGUCAUCUGCUUGUAUAAUUCCUUGUUGGUUAUAAUAAUAAUCCGCUCUCAACUGCUAAUAAAAAACUGAGCAUUGAUUCUAACCGGUCGGUUUUUGACACGAUACUAAUAUAACUAUCAGUACUAAGACUAACACGGAUCGGAUGACGACAAUGAUAUGAUCUGCUUGCAGCUGCGGGUGUCGAGCCUUGUGAGCAACGCGCCCUACUUGCUGGUGCUCGACUGCGACAUGUCCUGCAACAGCCGCUCCUCCGCCCUGGAGGCCAUGUGCUUCCAUCUCGACCGAUCCCCGCCGGCGCCGGAGAGCCUCGCCUUCGUGCAGUUCCCGCAGAUGUUCCACAACCUCAGCCCCAACGACAUCUACACCAAUGACCUCCGAUCCUUCUUCGCGGUAAUGUAUCAGACUCACUCGUAUGUUGAGUUGUUGACAUGGCCAGCUCUCAGCUGACAAGCGAUGAUCAAUUGCAUGCGUCCGGCAGACUCGAUGGAUCGGCCAGGACGGCCUCCGGGGCCCGCUCCUCGUUGGCACCGGCUUCUACGUCAGGAGGGACGCACUGUACGGGGCCAUGCCGUCCGCCGCCACCUCGUUGCCGGCGCACGGUGCAGAGUUCUCGUCCAUGGAGGCCGGCGAGCUGGUGAGGAGGUUCGGCCACUCCGACGACCUCAUAUCCUCCGUGCGCAACCUCCACCUGCAGAAACCACCUGCUGCUGGUCGCCAUCGUCGUCGUCUUCCUCGAGACGCGGCGCUGGUGGCCUCCUGCGCGUACGAGACCGGCACCGGGUGGGGCGACGAGGUGGGGUUCAUGUACCAGUCGGUGGUGGAGGACUACUUCACCGGCUACCGCCGCUUCUUCUCCCGGGGCUGGACGUCGGCCUACUGCUACCCGGCGCCCUCGUCCCGGCCGCCGUUCCUCGGCACCAUGCCCACAAACCUCAACGACGUGCUGGUCCAGAACAAGCGCUGGAUGUCUGGCCUCCUCGCCGUCGGCCUCUCUAGGCGCUACUGCCCGCUCACCUGCCGGGGGCUCCUCGCCGUCUCCGUGCCGCAGGCCAUGACCGUCGCCUACUUCGGCUUCCUUUCGCUCUACGCGUUCCCGGCGCUGUGCUACGCCACCCUGCCGCAGCUCUGCUUCCUCCGCGGCGUCCCUCUGUUCCCGGACGCCGC